rnacentral:lncRNA from 1 species
AUCUUCUCUUGGCCUUUUAUAUGUUGUCGUGGUGAUAAAUUUGGGAGUUCGUCAACAACUAGAAUUCCAUUGGUUUCUGAGGAUCAACCACAGGACUACUCAAUCACAUCGGUAACCCUCUCACCUUUCGGGUUUAUUGUGAUACUUUAUCUUUUUAAUGUGUAUCUUGUAUAUUAUUUGAUAGCUUUUAUGCAUAUUUAGCAUCCCAAACUUGAAGGUUUCUAUUAUAAGUUGAAUAUGUUUGGAAGUGUUUCAAACACUUCGAUGCACUAAAUUUAUUAUAGAUAAUGUAAGCCUAUAUCUUAAGGACUUAUAAUAGAAACAUUAUAACUUAUAUGUUUGCAUUUAUAUAAGUUGCAUGCACAUGUAAGGAAUGUUUAGUAUGAUUUUUAGUUCCUUUACAUUGGGAUUACAUUACAGGUAUCAAAUUCACACAAUCUUCAUAUAUGGGAACGUGCUCAAUGUCUUUCGGUACACCCACAUUUCAUGUGCAAUAUUAAAAACAUUGUGCUGUUUCAAAUUUUGAAGAUAAAAUCGGUGUUUAUCCUGUCUAUUGCUCCAAGAAUGUUGGAAACUUUGACAAUUACAAAUUGUGAUGAAUUGAAGCACAUAGUGAUAGAUACCGAAGAUCAUGACAGUAGUGGCAAUAAUUGGGGCAAUGUCUUCCCUACAUUGAAAAGGCUCCACGUUCAAAAGUGCAUGCAAUUGGAAUACAUAUUUGGACACUACACUAAUGACCAUCAAAAUCACACUGAGAUUCACCUUCAUCUUUCAGCAUUGCAAUAUCUCAAUUUUUGCAAUCUGCCAAGUUUAGUCGCUAUGUGUCCCAAAAAAUAUCGCCCAACAUUUCCAUCUUUAAAAGAACUUGAACUAAAAAAUUGCUCCCAAGUUGAUAUCAAAUCUAUCGGUGAUUUCAUUAUUCAUUCAGUUUCAAAAUCUCAAGACAGUACAAUCAUGAAGGUAUCCCUUUUUUCUUAUAUAUUUUUUGUUUGCCAAAUUAAUCAAUGAUUUCAUUCUUACUCGAAGAAUGUUAUUGGAUUGCAAUUGAUAACUACUUAGUGGAAAAAACUUGAAACGGGAAUGUCACAUUUGUUCCAAUAGAAUCAAUGUUUGUGCAGUGUUGGUGAAUCGUGUUAAGAUAGUAGUUCCAAGCAAGAUCUAAGUCUCACAAGUGCUUGUUUUUUUUAGUAGUGUGUUGAUACUUUAGAAUGUAUCUCUAGGAAAUAGAUUGUGGCAUAAUAUGUCCGUGUAUUCUAUGGUUAUGUCAAUUAUUCUAUCUUAAUAAUGAAUAUACAUUUUUUUACAUCAUUUCGUAUAAAAAUAAUGGAACCAAGAAAAUAUCUAACUAACUUGACAAAUCAUUUUAAAUGUAUAAUUUUUUUAUAAAAUGGAAGUUUAAUUUCAUGUAAUUUAAGAAUAUAAUUUUAAACGAGAUCUUAUUUAAUUUUAAAAAUGUCUUUUUUACUGAAUUUUAGAAAUGUUAUUAUGAUACAACUAAUUUAUUUGGUGUACAUACUUGUAGGAAUUGAGCGUGAAACAUUUUAUUCCUUUGGAAAGUCUCAGGGUAGAUAACUCCAAAGCAGAAAAUUUAUUUUGUCUCAAUGAAAUGGAUGGACAACCAAUGAACUUAGGGUUGCAAAAGAUUCAGUUAUCUGAUAUGCAUGAUAUGAAGUACCUUUUUGGGGGACCCAAAAAUUCUUUUGUCCUAAAAAACCUUACAAAGAUAAUAAUCAUACGAUGUGAAAUAUUGGAAGUACUUUUCUCCACUUCUAUUUUAAGAUGCCUAUCAAAAUUAGUUUUUCUAAGAAUAGAAGAAUGCAAGGAGUUGAAACAUAUCAUUGAAGAUGACUUGCAGAAUCAAAACAUGUUGAAUUCCUUCCCAAAGCUAAAAGUACUUGUUGUAGUAAAGUGCUGCAAGUUGAAAUAUGUCCUUCCGGUCUCCAUAUGUAAAGAGUUUCUUGAGCUAGAGGCACUAGUAAUAAGAAAAGCACUUGAAUUGGAGGAAAUAUUCAAAAGUGAAGGAGAUCAUAAAGUCAAGAUUCCAAAACUAAAUUUUAUAGUAUUUGACAAACUACCAAGCCUCUUCUUCACCCAAGGAAUUCAAUUUCAGACAACAAAAAAUCGUUUUGUACGAAAUUGUCGAAAACUCUCUUCGUGUUUAGCAUCUACUCCCUACAGCUUCGUUGAAAUUUAUAACUUUUUCGUACGAAACACAGGUACACAUUAUACCCAAUAUUUUUUAAAACCAUUAUUACAUGUUGGUUUUAAUUAACUACAUAUCAUGUCGUGUUUAUAAAAUAUUUUGAUAAUUGUGUUUAUUUUUUGUAAUUCUUCUUAUUUAUAAAUGUGUAUAUAGACAGUUUUACACUACCACAAAGUUCUUUACAAUAGAAACAAAUGUAUGUUACAUUUUAUUUGAAUAUAUACUUUCUCAAGUCAAUCGAAAUGUAGACAGUUUGAGUUUUACAAAUAUAUAUGUCUAUGUAUCUGUGUGUGUGUAAUUUUAAUUGUUUAUCUGAAAUAGACUUACUUGAUUAAUGCCCGCCUUUCUAGAUACAUUUGUCAAAAUUUUCUUGAGAAUUUAUUCUUUAACUUUUUCCCUCGGCAUUUCUUACCAAGUAUUAGGAGUCCCUCUGCAUUUCUUACCAAGUACUAAUAGAGAAUAUAUAUGUCUCUCUAGGUAUAGCUUUUUCAAAAAAUAUUACGACAAUGUCAAAGAUGUCAUAUAGUCAUUUGUUUUAUCUUUACCAACCAAUUAUAUGUCUUUUAAUAUUAAAAAAAUUAAACUAGUUGGUUGAAGAAUAUAACAAAUUAUCUAAAGUAGAAAUGUGCAUGAAUAAGUGUUUUUGAAAAUGCAAGAGCACAUAGAGUUACCUAUAUACUUAGAGAUGCUUUAUGAAAGUGGUAAAAUUUUCAUUAUUAGGCAUAGACAGAUAAAUAAUUGUACAUCCUAGUCAACAUCUUGGUUUUAUUGUUGUGCUCAUGAGUUUCUGUUUUUUUUUUUUUCUGAAGAAAUGUUAUGCUUAUGAGUUACUAUCUAAUAAUAUUUUGCUAUAGAUCGUGAAACAUAUAAAAACGUAUUUCAACAAUUACAAGAAGAGUCCGAUGGUAGCGAUAGUGGUAAUGAAAGUCCAAGUGCAGAAACCACUGAAGAUUUUGAUGGUGGGAUUGAAGUUGAAGCGGCAUCACAGGUCAAUACCAUUCUAUUUACUCACACCUGAAUACAAUCACCAUGACAAUGUCUUUGAAUCAAACAUACUAUUUUUUGUGCAGAUACAAAUGAAACUCACACCAGAAGCAGAGCAUGAAUUUGUUGAAAAUGUUCCGGAUUUAGAGAUACCAUCAAUAGCAAUAUUACCAACAAAUUCAAAAGUAAUUUGCAGGCCAUAUCAAAUUUCCUCUCCAUAAACUCAUUCAAUAGUCUACGACUUUGGUAAUGAAUGCAUCUGUUCUUAAUACAGGAGUUGGUGAAUGAACAAUCAACCAAUCAACAGUGUUUGAUAAACCAGCAACAUCCACUUGGAGAAUUUGAUACUACCGCCAAACCUUCUCAAGGAAAUAAUGUAAAUAUAGUAUCACCUUAUUGUGCAUAUAAUACACUACAGCUUAUUUACCUUUUCCUGCUGCACAGUGUUUGAAAGAAAUAGAGGACCAAAAUAUUCAAGAGGGUUAUACACCAGAAAAAACUGUUGCUGCAACUAUGUCUACCAUUUCAGAAACAAGAAAUGGGCCACCUAUACAAUUAAUUUCUCCUAAACAAAAGGCAUAUCCCCUAUUUUGCAUGUUUUCUUUGACUUUUUAAUGUAGGAAUUGAAUUAUACUACCAACUUAAACUUUUUAUUUUUAUGCAGUGUGUUGAAGAAGGAACUUCAUUAACAAAUGCCAACACAAUAACACCGUCAAUUCAUUUAGAAUUAGUCAGUUCAUCAAAGGUGAGUGUAUAGUAUGUAACCAAAUUUUCAAACAUGUUCUAUUGGUUUUAAAAAAUUGUUAAUAUAGUGAGGCUAAUCGUAUAAAAAUUAAUAUUUUGGAUAUGUUAAUAUCAUUUGUUUAUUUGAAUAUGUGUAGGAACAACAUGUUGAUGUUAGAGACUCAGUGGAAACUACCAAGACUAAUGAUGAUCAAGGUGAAGAUUCUUUUGGAUAAAUUUUAUUUUCUUAUGUUACCUCAUCACCCUUUUGAUUUUUGAAGUUGAACUCUCUCCACUUCCGCUUUUUGUUCAGUUUCUCUAAAUGAUGAUGUUGUUGUCAAAGUAACCUCAACUAUUGAAGAACAAUUUCAUACUCCUUCAAUGCCUUUUGAAGGUAUUUACUCAAUUUUAUUUUUAAUCAUUUUGUUUUAGUUCUCUGGAGAGCCUUAACUAGUCUUUUCUUCAUUAUUAGGGAACCCUUCUCAAAUAGUGGAAGAUAUAAAUUCCCCUUCUAUUGUCACAUGGGAGCUUGAGGAACUGGUAUCCAAGAAGCAUUUGGAUUACCAAAACUUGUCUUUGUUGACUGAUUUUCUUGUUAAGCAUCCUUCAUGUCUUUUAAGGGACACCUCACUUAGUAACCGAUACAAGGGUUAUGCAUAUCACUGCCUAGCUGAGCUAUUGAAAUUCCUCCAAACCCGCAGUGUGUUGGAUGUUUUAGGUUCAAGCCACUCUGUAUUUGUUGAGUUAAUACAAGAUGCGCGCAGAUUUGCUUUUGAUAAGAAUUGGUUGGAUGGUGUCGAAAAGCGCGCUUUGUUUCCUGAUUUGCAAUUCUCUCAAGAUGCAUUCCAAAAGUUAUUGGAUUCCAAGAAACAUGUUACCAAGGAUGUUGAAGAUAUGCUUUGGAAGAUUGACGUUUUAGCUAAACAAAUGGAUGUUUUUAACCAUCAAUUGACCUCAUCUGAAGCUGUUUUGCAGAGUAUCAUUCAACAGGAGACACAAGUUUUAGAAACUAAGGCUGCUUUAAGUGCCCCUCUUGGCUAUUAGAUUAUUUUUCCUUGCAUUCACUUACUGCUAUAUCUUUUAUUGUUGGUGUUUUUAUCCUUGACUCUUUGAUAGUCUCUCAUAGCACGUUCUGUAUGCAGAGGAAAUAUUGAUUGCUAGCUUUUACCGAAUUGAGUGGAUCAACCAUGCUUGGUUAUGUGUGGCAUCUAAAGCUCAUAUAACCUUUCAUGAUAUUUGAUGUGUGGUGCGAAACCGGUUAGAAUUAGCCGUUGAAGUUGUGGGAUUUUAGAGAAAAAGAGAAGAGAAAAUAAUAAGGGUUUGAAUAUUAUUGAUAAUAGCUUUAUGCUAACUUGAUUACAAAAGACUCAAUACUAAUUUCUAUUUAUAGAGAAACAUAGAUUUAAUCCUAAAGCAGGUAUAAAUCAUAAUAAUAAUGAGAGAUAUUCUAAGAUAUCUCUAUGAUUAUAAAUUGAUCAUAGAGAAUAACUCUAAUAUAAUAUAAUAGAUAUUAUAAGAUAUUUUCUAAUAUUCUAACACUCCUCCUCAAGUUAAAGCUUAGUCUCAAGCUAAAGCUUACUAAGCUUUAGCUUGUUACAAGAAAACAAUGUUUUGCUCCGCAAAAUAAUAAAAAAAGAUGGAAAGACAACUCAGGGAUGCAUGUGAAGUCAAAGAGAAUUGCUAUAAAUAUUAGUCAGAUAGCUGGAAUGAUCAUCAGCAUGAGAGAAAUUCAUGACAAGCAAUUGAACAAAGUAAAAUUCGCCCUUCUAAAAAAUUGCAUUUGGAAGCUUCAAACUAAUAAUAUCAGAGACUCAAAAUAUUUAAACUUGAAUUUGCUUCAAGGAGAGAGAGGCAUGCUUCAGGGAGAGAAAGGCAAGACCAGUACGUCUGGGACAAAGAUGGGACCAGUGUAUCUGGGACAAAUUGCCAAGUUGUAUGCAUGUGGCUCGAAAGAAAAAAACUUAAAACAAAUCUGGAACCAGGAAGUAAAACUCAAUCUAGACGACUGAAACAUCAUGACGGAAGGCGGACAGACGCGCCUAAGCUCGAGGCUGUUGGUGGCGACGCGUGAGAUGAACUCGGCGGAUCUUGGAGGCACAUGAGCGCAUGUGGAGCAACUUUUGACCUAAAAAAAUAUGGGUUGUGUACAUUGGGAGAUUCUGCACACAAUGGAAGUGGUUGUGUCGGAAAACUUUUCCAGCAGCGACAACGGGCAGCAGCAGCAGACAGCGGCAGUAGCAGACGAGACAACAACGACGAUAGGAAGCAGUAGCAGACGGGGCAGCAGCGACGAUUGUGGUCGGAAGUGACAUUAGUCAUAAAAAGGAAUGAUCAUGCUAGAAAAGAGAAACUAUGAUUAUAUUCUCAAACUGUUGGGAACUCAGCAGCAGAAUAGAGGCAUGAUCGUUCAAGGAUGAUCGAAAUAGGCUCUAGAUACCAUAUUGAAGUUGUGGGAUUUUAGAGAAAAAGAGAAGAGAAAAUAAUAAGGGUUUGAAUAUUAUUGAUAAUAGCUUUAUGCUAACUUGAUUACAAAAGACUUAAUACUAAUCUCUAUUUAUAGAGAAACAUAGACUCAAUCCUAAAGCAGGUAUAAAUCAUAAUAAUAAUGAGAGAUAUUCUAAGAUAUCUCUAUGAUUAUAAAUUGAUCAUAGAAAAUAACUCUAAUAUAAUAUAAUAGAUAUUAUAAGAUAUUUUUUAAUAUUCUAACAUUAGCCAUAGUGAACACUUCAAAUCUUGCUUAUCUGUUUUCAUGAAAUUUGUAGCAUUAAUAAUUUAUGCCUCUCGUAGUAUAUUGGUAGCAUGAUAUUCUUCUAAAAAUUCUACUGUGUUGGUUUAAAAAUGUAUGUUAAUCAACCGCUUCCCUCGCCAUAGCAUAACAUCAUGUAAUAAUUAAUCAAAGUUGAGAACUCAUACAGGUGUACCACAGAAGAUAUGGAAUUACCUAAAAGCAUGGGUAAAUGAGGUCUGCAUAAACUAAAAAUUAAUUUUUUUCUUUCAUAUAUUGCAUAAUUUAGAAAUAUUGGUGUGAUGGCUGAUAUGCUUUUAAACUAUAUCAUGUUGUUUGUGUGAAAAUUAUAUUUACAAUAAUUUCUUUCUUUAACUUUGUCUAGUUUGUGCCUAGUGCAAUCUGUUUCUGAUUUUUUAUCUCAAAUCUUUGGAUCAAUGGGCUAAGUAAAAACAUAUCUGUUAAUUGGUAACCAUGCAACUGACUUAGGGUGAUGUGUUGGAUGUGAUUAGGUUGACGGUAUUUUUGAAAAAUGGGCAAUGAAAAUAGCAUAAUUAUUCUGUCCCUUAUUAUAAGAUUGAGUAAUAUUACAUAGACACAUAUUUCCAAAUAUUCAUUCAAUACUUCAUUUUCUCUCUAUUUCUCUCUUAUAUCACAACAUCAUCUCUAUUUAUUUUUCUCUCAAAGUGUCUACUAGGUGUAUGGUUGUCACUUAUAAAAUUUUUAUGUAUUAAGAAAAGUAGUUGUAGCAUUAAAUUUAUCAAAAAUGUGUUACACAGAUGUCCUUACAAUUAUUGAUAACAUUAGAGAGACAAAAUCACUUUAUGUUUCUCAAUUGAUACUUAUAUUAAGAGACAAAGAAAUAUUAAAAGUGAGUCUUGUAAUGAAGGAUGGAGGCAGUAUAAAGCAAUUGAUUUCAUAAGGUGGGGAUGGAACAUUGAGAUUAGUGUAAUAAAGAGAUCAUGAGUUUAACUCAUUUUCUAACAAAAAAUAACAACUAACUACUAACAUUUAUCAUUUCAAACCAAAAAGUUUAAAGAAAUUGACGAGGUCAAUAGAAUAGCAAUGCUAAAUUAUUGAAUUUAUUGUCAUUGUAUUAUUCGAUAUAUUGCAUGGACAAUAAACAUAAUCAUUUUAAAGUGCUAUAAAAAAACUUUGAAAAUGAUUUUGGGAGAACUCAUCAAUCAUUUCUUCCACUUGGGUAUCAUUCUAGCUCAAUUUUUAGGAUGAAAAGUCAUCAAAUGGACCUUGUUUGAUACAAGUGACAUGUUAGAACAUUUAACCAUUCUUACUUAAUGAACCCUCAACAUGAAUCAGUUAAACAAUAAAAACAUGAUCACAAGUUUGUAGGAUCGAGUUUGAUGGCAAUCAUGGAAAUAUCUUAAAGGGUUUUGUUUAUCAACAUGAACAUGAUCCUCUAAUAAUACAUAGUAUCCUCCAUAAACAAAUCUUGGAUGCUCAAGGAAACACAAAGCAGAUACAUGUUAUAUAACAGAAUAUUGUUUAUUAUCAAAAAUAAUAGAAUAAGUAAUAAUGAGGAUGAUUGGUUUUUGUGGUGUGUCCCGUAUUUGCAGCACAUUUGGUGUUAAUAACAGUGGCUGCUUCUUGAGGUAGUAAUAGCAUCUGUUUAGUAGUUUAGGAAUGCCAAGAAGUACUGUGAUGUUAUUUGUUUUAACUUUUGGUUUGGCUUCAUUGUAAUACAUCAAAUUUUGGGGAUUGGAUCUCUUUAUGGGGAGUGUUUGUAAGACAUGUGCACAAUAUCUUAAUUCAGUUGACUUUGACUACUGGUGAUGGCUAUUUCUGUUACCAUAUCCAACUUUUUGCAAUUUUUUUGUCAUAUCAUAUCCUUUCCUACUAAAAUGAUCUUGGAGAUUUCUGAUGAAUUAGUUCAGUUUUCACACUUGUUUCGCAAUUCAUACAAUCUUUAAAAAAAAUAUUUCAACAGAGAGAAAAAAGAAAGAGAACAUUGUGAAUGCUAGAAGAAAAAAAGAUAUAUUAAUAAACAAAACCAAUGGAAAUCCAUUGUAAGUAACAUAACAGCCUAUAUAAAAUAUGUAUAUGUAUCAGUUUGUACAUCUUGGACACCCCUUUGCUGCCCAAAUAUAACUUAGGCAAAUACAAUCAUCACAGUCUAAAUUAAUAGUUUCACUAAUAUAUAAUUCACUGUAUUAUUUUUAUUCUACCAAUAGAAGCUAAGCUAGUUCUCCUUUCUAUUUAUUUAUUUUUGUUUGAAAAAGCAAAAGCAGAUUUCAUUAAAUAACUCAAAACAAGUGCUCAGUACAAUUAGGUUAUCAAAAGAGAGCAAUCUCACACAUAAUCUAUACAAUUAAACUACUGAAAGCUAGAAGUUUAAGCUAAAAUGAGAUAACCAGUUAAAGCAUUCCUAAUCCAACCAAAAGCAUGUAUGCACUUAUAAUAUCAUAAAAGUAAAUUGACUGAUCAAGUAUUAACUUAAUAUGUAAAUGUAUAUUGUGUUUUCCUCCAUCUAUAUUAUAGUAAUCUUGUUGAUGCUGGAAGAUCUAUUAGUAUGAAUGAAAGAUGAGAAGAAAACAUACAUGCAAACUAUCACUUUUGAGAAAGAGUAUUAUUGAUUAAAACUUUUCUUCUUUGUCAAUGUUCUAUAUCUCUAUUUUCUAUAAACUUGUCCCUAACCAUUUAGAAUGUUGUUAUAUAAAAUCUUUUUUAAGUCCUUUUCAAAAACUAAAUAAAUUAAAUCUUUUAAGUGAUAUCAGUAGCAGUAGUAUUAAAGGGCUACGUAUGUACAAAAAUUCAAAACAACACUACAAUAUCAAAAUAAUUGGCAUAACCUGUUGACUUCAAUACAUAAUGCAUUUUCUAGGAUUUGAAAUAAACAAAUUUGUGCAUGUAAAUUGUAUAAAACGAAAUGCGGGAUUAGAGAAUCAACGAUUACAACCAACAAAUAAAUGAAAAACUACUAACCGCAAUUUCUCAAAUUGUGGAAUCCAUCAAUCAUUAUAUAAUUAAAAUUAACUCAUGAAGCCACUAGUAAUUAAAACAAGCAUACAAAAAUAAAUAACAUAAACGGAAAUUUAACAUAUAAGUUGGUGCUAAAUCAUAUGACCAAGUGACAUAGCCAAUGCCAACAUCCCAAUAUCAAGAACAAGUUGUUAUCAAACUCUCUACAUAGACAGUUAGAACCAUUAUCAAUCUUGGGAGUCCUGGAAUCAUAAACAACCAACUUUAGAUUCUUUAUAUCGAUAUACACCAACAACAUUUGUUCAUCUUAAUCAAUAUAUGUUACCAUGAUACAUACGAGGACAUUUUCCAAUAUCUUCAAAGAAAGGAAUAAUAUAUAAUUUAUUCCAAGAAUUCUUCUUUCCAUAUUCCUUCACAACCCAUUGACCAACUUGGUUGAAUUUGAAAAUUUUAGGUAAACUUAAUUGAUGUAUGAUUACGUGAUCACAUAUAACGCAUCUUAGGGAAAUUGAGUUUAUGUAAGCUUCCUAAACUUAGUCCACGUAGGAUAUGUGAUCACAAUUAUUGUACAUUAUCUAUUUUUUAUAGUGUUGUUAAUUAAUGCAAUGUUUACCCCAACCUAAUGGACGAUGAAAACAGAAAUUUUAACACAAUGAGCAACAACAUGGAACCAUAGUUAACGGAUUCUACGAAUUUAUUUGCUACUAAUAUGACGUUGAAGGACAUCACCUCUUAGCUUCUUUUUAUUGUUCAAUAUCAUCUGCCACACGAUUGUGAAAUAAAUAAAUAAAUAAAGUGUAUGUUUCAUGUCACUAUGAAAAUAAAUGUUAAAAAUAUAACGUCACUCAAUUACCACUUCAUCCUAAAGUUGAGUGGACAUGUGAUAUGUAAAUUCGCAAAGUCAUAUGUGUUAAGUGGAUUGUCAGAGAAUCCUUUAGUUGUUGCAUUUUGGGAGGAAAUAUGCUGUUUUUGGGGCUCCUCCGCAUCCAGCCAUGGAGGCUGAUCCAUUUGCUCCAAAGAUAUAGUAUGACUAUCAAUUUCUCUAAAUUAUACAACAUGUUCUAACAAUUGGCAUCAAGAGCUUGAGUUCUAAACCUUUGGGAAACACGAUUGCAAGUGUGAGGUGGAAUAAAAAAAAAAUUGGGAAACACAAGUGUGAAUGAAAGAAAGAAAGAAGAUUUGAAUGGAUAAUGAUUUCCAUCGAAUUUGCCAAUCCUUGAUGGGAAGAAUUGGGAGAGGUGGUCUCUAUCAAUGAGAUUGUUGCUGGGAGCUCAAGAAGUGUUUGAGAUUGUUCAAGAUGACUAUGAACAACUUGGUGAAAAUCCAAUAGAAAGACAGUAAACAACUUUCAAAGAUUGCAAGAAAAAAGAUUGCAAGGCAUUGUUAUACAUCCAGCAAAGUGUGGAUUCAAACAACUUUGAGAGAAUUCUGAAGGCAUCUACAUCAAAGGAGGCAUGGUAGAUCUUGGUUAACUACUAUACAUGUGGGGAAAAGACCAAACAAGUGAAGCUCCAAAUGCUAAGAAGGCAAUACGAACUAUUGUAUAUGGAAGAAGAUGAAGUUGUGGCAGAUUACUUCAAUCGUGUGUAGGUUGUUGUUGAUCAGAUGAGAACAAAUGGUGAAUCAUUAACUGAAGUGGUGGUUAUUGAAAAGAUCCUUAGAACAUUAACACAAAUGUAUGAUCAUAUUGUGGUGGCUAUUGAAGAAUCAAAUGAUCUUGAUAAGAUGAAGGUGGAGGAUUUGCAAGGCUCUCUUGAAGCUCAUGAACUGAGAGUAAGAGAAAGGUGUGCAGCAACCUCAGCAACUCAAGUGUAGGCCCUACAGGCCUAAGUCAACAAGAAGACCAACCAAGGUGAUGUAGAACACAAGAAAGGAAAGGGUAAAUUCAACUGGUACAAGAAACGAUUCAAUACACUUACUGAAAUGCUAUCAAGUUUUUGGCGCCUUUGCCGAUGAUUGCCAUAUCACUAUUGAGUUAUAAUUUAUUUACUUAAUUGGAAUUUUUUACUCUGCAGUAAAAAAAUUUAGUUUAAAACUUUGCAUUACUCACAAUUUGUCUAACCUUGUAUGCGAGGCCAGUCCUUAGCUGAACUUCUCUUUGAUUCAGAAAUCGAAAAAACUACAAAAGCAAAUUGAAAGGUGAAUCGAGAAAGGAGACAAAGGGAAGGACAAUUAAUAGUAGAAGAAAACGAUUUGGGGAAUUUCUUCAUAUUUGCGGAGAUGACUGAUCUACCACCUGAACGUACCUUCGGCGAGUAUGGGAAUCGAGAUAGAAAUCGGGCUCGGUUAGCCACCCAUAACCAACCGGUUAUAGUCAACAAGUUUGAAAUAAGUCUCGCUCUAUACCGAGAGUUGAAGGAGAUUCUUUUUCCGGUAAACAUAACGAAGACGUCAAUAGACAUCUCACAAACUUCUUUGAACUAUGUGAAACAGUGAAGGUGGAUGGUUGCUCUGAAGAAGGAAAAAGGUUGAGACUAUUUCCAUUGUCAUUGAAAGAUGAUGCUAAGGAGUGGCUUAAUUCUUUACCUUCUGAUAGCAUCACCACAUGGGACGAACUUGAAGAUAAGUUAUUGGAACAAUACUUUUCCCCUGUUGUGUUCGUUAGAAAAAGGCAAGAGAUUUCCAGUUACAAACAUAAAAAAGGAGAAUCUUUUCGUGACACUUAUAGGAGGUUCAAGAGUUUACUAGCAGGAUGCCCCAAUCAUGCUUAUGACGACACUACUCAGAUGCAAAUAUUUUAUAAUGGUUUGAGGCCUAACACUAGAAUUAUGUUGGAUGCUACAGCAGGCGGUUCUUUGAAUUACAAAACCACAUCAGAAGCACACAAAAUUAUUGAGAUCAUGGCAUCAAAUAAACAAAUGAUGUUCUAUGAUAGAGGUUUUGGGUUAAAAAGUGGUAUGCUAGAAUUGAAUGUUAUGGAUGUUGGAUUGACUCAAGGGAAGUUGCUCUCAAAACAGAUAGAAGAUGUUAUCGUCGCUGAGAUAAAGAAUGGGAUGGCAGCUCUAAAUAUACAACCCCAAGUGGCCUCAUUCAAAUUAUUGAAACAUACAGGUUGUGAUUUUUGUGGGGGAGCACAUAAAAAUGGAACUUGUGAAGUACCAGAUGAUGAUGAUACAGAAGAACUAGAAGAGAUGAACUUUGUGGGUAACAACGGGAAGCAGAACAAUCCUCACUCUAGUACAUACAAUCUGGGUUGGAGAAAUCAUCUAAUUUUUUCAUGGAAAGAUCAACACGAUGGACCCCAAGGUCAACAAGGAGCUCAAUCAAAUCAAGCUACAUCUCGUAAAGAUGCUUGGGAGAUUGCUAUUGAGAAGUUAGCAAUGAACACAAGUGCUUUCAUUGAAGAGUCAAGAGCCGUCCAUAAAAAUCACUCAGCUUCAAUCAAGAACCGUGAGACCCAAAUGGGUCAAAUUGCUCAACAGCUAGCACAAAGAGCGCUCGAAAAUUUGUUUAGUGACACAGUUCCGAAUUCACGAAAUAAUGUCAAUGUUGUGACAACGAGAGUGACAAGGUAAUUGAACCAGUACCACCUAAAGCCAAAAAGGGUGGAAGCGCUUCAAUUCCAUCCACUCGGAGGAGAUGUUCAACCCAACAUCAGUUGAGGAGGACAUCAUUCUUGAAAAGGAGGAAUAACAUGUGGUGUAGAAAAAGAGGCCCUGCCAUAGCCUGAAAUUCGACUUCCAUUCCCUCAAAGAUUAAGAAAUGAAGAAACUGAAAAAUGAUUUGGUAAGUUUCUUGAUGUUUUUAAAAAAUUGCAAAUUAACAUUCCUUUUGCAGAAGAACUAGAGCAGAUAAAGGCUUACGCCAAGUUCUUGAAGGAUAUUAUGUUAAAGAAAAGAAAAAUUGGCGAUGAAACAGUGAUACUUACUGAAGAGUGCAUUGCUAUUCUACAAAGGAAGUUGCCACCUAAGCUCAAGAAUUCUGGAAGCUUCUCUAUUCCUUGCGCUAUUGGGGAUAGAACUUUUGGGAAAACCCUGUGUGAUAUUGGGGUUAGUGUGAGUCUUAUACCCCUUUCUAUAUACAAAAGGUUAGGCAUUGGAAGAGUCAAAGACACACAAUUGAUGUUACAAUUUGCGGAUCGUUCAACGAAACACCCAUAUGGGGUGGUGGAAGAUGUGUUGGUCAAAGUUGAUAAGUUCAUUUCUCCAGUGGAUUUUGUGGUACUAGACAUGGAGGAAGACAAUGAUAUUCCCUUGAUCUUGGGGAGACCAUUCUUAGCAACAGGGAGAGCUAUGAUUGAUGUGGCGGAUGACACCUUAACCUUUAAGGUAAAUGAGGAAACAGUUACAUUCAAUUUUCUAAAAGCCAUCGAGCAUUCAAACGAAAGAGAAAGGUGCAACCGAAUUGAGAUUUUCAAUUCGAUAGUCGAUGAAGAAGUUGAACAUCAAGGACUCAUUCAGCCGUUAGAAAGAGGGUUAUGCCUACCCCCNNNNNNNNNNCAAGAGUGAAAUGUGUUUUAUCCAUGUUAGAAGCAUCACCAUCUCGUUCCCCUCGUGUCUAUACUAGAUGGGAGGAGUUGAAAGGGAAUGAAGAAGAGUAUGUAGAGAAAAAGAAAGAGACACCACUAGUUGAGCUCAAUCAAUUGUCACCUCACUUGAAAUCUGUAUUCGUUGGUGAGAAAGAUGAUGUGUUCUUUGUGUCAUAUAAUACACCUUGACAAUGGUUGAGGCGUCAAGCUAAUGACUUUAAAGAAACGCUUUGUGGGAGACAACCCAUAGGUAGAGGUAACUUUUAUUUUUACAAUCUUAUUUUUUUUAUUUGAAUUUAUUUCUUUUUAAUUGUGUGUAAAUGUGCACUAUGAUGAAGAAUUUUUAACAACUUGAAGCUGGUCUUAAGCUAUUUGUUUGAGAUUUUGAAAUUUAAAUUCUAUUUCUUUGCUCAUAUCAUUGUUCAAUUCGACGAGUUCACUAAUGCAUACAUUGUUGAUUACUCUUUGGUUGUGGAAGUCUUGACAUUCUUAAAAAAAUAAAAUAAAUUGUAGUGACAUGUUUGGCAUCGUUUAGAUAGUUCAUACUCUGUUUGUGUACUUUAAUAAAUAACAUCUUCUUGGUUCUUUUGUCAAUGUUUGAGAAUCUCCACAAUGAAAAUGUGAAGAAAAAAAAGUGGUAGAAUAAUUGGAAAUUGUGUACCUAACUCCAAAUACUAAAGCCAAUUAUCCCAAAAUGUCUUACCCUUACCUAAGUCUCAUUACAACCCGAAUGUUAACUAGAAUUUUUUUCGAGCCUAUGGUAGCGCGCUGCAUGUUCUAGGAUUUGAGUGAUAAAUUCAUAACCCUAUCUAAACACUUGAGAGAAAUUUUAGUGAGAUUGUGUGAAGAGAGAGUUGAACUUGAUGAAUGAAUGCUAAAGUGUACAAAUUGUGUAUUUUUUUUUAGCAACCAUGGAGCAUGAUGAAUGUUUUGUAGUAGCUGGAACUUUGAGAAUUGAGUUUGAUUUGAUUUGAGAAUUGAGUUUGAUUUGAUUUGAGAAAUUGAGUUUAAGUUUAAUUUUAACUGUACCAAAUCUGAAUUUAAUCCACAAGCAACAGACUAAGUUUGGGGUUGUGAUGACUCUUCAUCAUAUGCAUAUUUUUCAUUGUUUUUAGUCUUAUUUAUCUUUAAUCAUUAGUUAAUUUAAGAAGUUAUUUGAUAUAUUUUGUUUAUUUUAGUUCUUAGAUUUAAUGAAAUGUUUAUAUUCUUAUUUCCUUGAUUAAGUAGAGAUUUUUUUGUAGUUUUGCGUUGUUUCUUUGUUUUAGUGCAAUGCUGAAUUUUGGUGAGAAAUCAACAUGACUUAGGUGGAGUAUUGCAACCAUUGCUAGAGUUGUAGAUGUCCAAUUGGAUUCAAACCAAGUGAAAAUGAAAGCUAAGAUCCAUAGCUACAACUUUCAUGAAGACACUAGAACCAAAUUAGGACUCAAAAGAGGAGACAAAAUGACUAAAUGCCAAACAUAAGAGGCUUUGCGCUUGAAGCGCAUAACCUGUGCCUGGGGCGCGCGACGCGUAGCAAAACACAUUAAAACACGUUUUUCUCACUGUUUAGGCAUCUUUUUUACUAUUGGGAAGUUGGGAGACUUGUGCCCCUAGCAGAGAAACUCAAAGACGACUAGCUGUUCUUAACACCAUUGGAAGAGUUUUAUCAGGAAUCAUUCAUGAAUCCUUCUUGUAAUUCUUCUUUAAUCCCUAUAUUUUGUAUCUAUGUCAUGAGUAACGAAACCCUAUUUGUUAGGGAUGAGCGAAACAAGAUGAAUUCCCUUAUUUUUCUCAUAUAUGUGUUUAAUGCUUUUUAUUGCUUGAUCAACAUUAAAAUGUUCUACGAUUCGUAUUUUGAAACGGAAGUGGGCUUUACGAAUGCUUGAGAUGAGAAAUUCAUGAUAUUGUAGUCUAGGGAUAGAUGCAGGUCAUGAAACCAAUUAAAUUUGUUGCAAAGAUAGUAGUUUAAAAAGAGAAUUCCUAUACCAUAAAGCUUAAUUCUAAUCUUAAUUCCACUAAGGAAUUAUGGGUUACUUUGGAAUUAAAGGUUACGUCAAUAAGACAUUAUGGCAAGAAUAAUAAAGAGAAUCCAGUAAUAAUUCAAUAAAGGAAUUAGUAACUAGGAUCAAAUUAGACACCAAGGUUGGAUACGAAGUGAAACUUAUUCCUGACAUUUUUCUUAUAGUAAAAGAUCAAUUUUAUUACUGUUGUUAAUUUCAAAUAUUAUUUCAAUCAUUUCUGAAAUUUUUUGUUCAAUUUUAGUAAUUAAAUACAAUUCGAUAGUAAAACGCAAUCCUUCAAUUCGACACUUGGUACUACCAUUUUAUUAUUACUUGCAACGAUUCAGUGCACUUGCUGAAACGCUAUCACUACCAAAGCGAAGAACGUUCCUCGUUAGACUCAGAAAAACAUUAUUGUUAAUGGCUACCACAAACUAAGAACCUUCUUCGUCCCAGUUCUGGUUUUUUUAUACUGGUUGUUCUAAUCAUAUGAUUGGACAUAAGGAGUGGUUUGUGAGUCUUAAUGAAAGAAUAAAAAGGGAAAUCAUAUUUGCAAAUAAUAGCAAAGUAACUGCAUAAAUAGUAGGAAAUGUGUUCAUUCAAAGGAGAGAUGGAAAAUAGUCUUUCAUAUGUGAUGUGUUGUAUGUGCCAAGAAUGAAGAACAAUCUGCUAAGUCUUGGAAAACUGCUUGAAAAGGGAUAUUCAAUGAAGAUGAAACAUGGACAAAUAAAGAUGUUUGAUAAUGCAAAAAGGUUUGUAUUUAAGGCACCAUUGUCCAAAAACAAAACCUUCAAACAACACUGCCAACCAGAUCUUCAAGAAUGAUGGACGUUGAAGGAUUGAAUGAGAUUUUGAAUCCAAGGAAAGGUGAUGUUGGUACCCCAGCUUUUCAAUCUCGUACGACUUCUAGAACUACAACUCAAAAGAAAAAUAGUCAAUCGUGUAGCAAGAGCAAAAGUUGUUGUAGGAGAUGUUGAGCAAGAGAACAAAUAUGUUAAUGUUCCAUUCCCUCUUGUUGUUGUGCCAAGUAGCAAAAGAAGGGUCCCUGUAUUUUCUACUCGUAGAAAGAAGGAAGUGAUUGGGCUGGAUGACGAUAGUGGUGAUGGUAAGAGUGAGGUCCAAGGGAAACCAGUAGAUGCGGCUAAAACUCAUGUUGUAGCUCCUAGCAGUAGGACAAGAGCUGUUAGCCGUUUGGUUUGCACAAAAAUGAGAUCCCUGAUGGCACUUUAGUGCAGAAAGCAGCAUAUAGCACCAGGAGGUCCGUGAGAUUGUUGGGGAAGAGCUUGUCAAAGAUGAGUUUAGUCGACACUGAGGACAUGGGGUUGACCAAGAAUUAUGAUGUUUCUGAAGAAAUGAGUGGUGUAUCCAACUUAUAAAGGAAUCAUUUGACACUGAUGUGGACCUAGCACAGGCUUGCGGUGCAUGCAUAGUUGGAUUCAAUGUCAGGAAUCCACCUAUUUCUCUUAGGACAUUUUUCUCGAGAAUGCGCAAGACAUCCAAGUGUUCAUAGAAUGAGAAAGCACAUAGAAACAAGGUUUUAUUUUCUAAGAGAUCAAGUGAUGAAAGGCAAGAUAAAGCUAGAACAUUACAAUACCAAUGAUCAAAAGGCUGACAUUAUAACUAAAAGCUUAAAGAGGGUGAAAUUCAAAGAGAUGUGUAACAAUCUUGGAUUAAUAUCAAAUUGAAUCACUUUGAAUUAGGGGGCAUGUUAAAUAUAAUUAAAAGUGAUUUAUAGUUAGUUAGGAAAGUUAGAAGUAGUUAAGAAGGUUAGAAUUUUGUUUUGACAGUUAGUGCUCAAAACUGAUAUAAAAUUUGUAAUACAGAGAACAUUCUCUAGAUGUAGUUCAUCAAUCUCCGAUUUCAGAAUAUUUUGUUUUAUUUUCUCUUCUUCUCAAUUUUAAUUACUCUCAAUUAUGCAACUUGUUCUAACAAUGUUAACUCUUCUUUGGAAGAUGUUAUCUUUUGUAUUGGUUGAGUCAGGAUGAAUCAUGGUCUCCCUAGAAUUUGUAUAAUGAAUAGUGCAAUCAAUCCCAAGAAAUACUUAAAUUUGAAUUUGCAAUAUAUAUAUAUAUAUAUGUCAAAAUAUGUUUUAUAACAUUUUAUCUAUUUGAUUGCCUCUUUUAGAACCUGAUGUAUAAAGUAUUUUUUAGAAUUUAGAAUUAAUGUUUAAAUAUGUUUUAGUCCCUAAAAGAUCUUCAUUCUUGUAAAAUGGAUAGAAGUAAAAAUGGAUACUUUUUUUGUAGUGACUAAAAAACAUUUAGUGAUUGGGGUUAGUAUAUGCUAAUAAUAUUUGGAAUAACGUGGUCAACAAAGUGAAUGAACGAAACAGUCAAAUGUGUUCCCUGUAACUAGUGAAAUUAUGGUAUUAGUUUUGUGGUUGUGACAUUAGAUGGAAAAACGUGUAUUUAUAGGGGUGCUAAUUAAAGAUAACAAUAGCUAGAAAUUGUGAUUGUAUUCAAUAAGGUGAAGCUAGUGAUUUUGCUGCUGUUUUUAUAUCUGAUGUGUCCUACAUUUGCACCUCUUAUAGUUCUGUAAUAUAUUUGUGUAUAAUUUUUUGUUUUGAAAAAAAAUAAAUAUUCCUACGGUCAUUCUAUCAAGUUGUAAUAUAUUACAUUAUUUCAAAGAAUGAGUGUCAUGACAAAGGUUUUGCAUAACUCAUAUUACUAAAUCUAUUAAUCAAUUGUAUUAUAAGAGUUGAGAUAUUAUUUUUAACUAUAAAAAAAAUACAUAUUUAGAAGUAUGAGAUUUUUAUAGGAAUAAAAAUUCUAUAUGUAUUUUAUUCACAACAAAGAUGGUAUUCCUUCUCAAAUGAAAAAAAUUAUAUCUUUUAAACAUGUUUUGUAAAAUUUUGAUUUGAGUAUAAAACACGUGACAACUAAUCACAGGUAAUAAAAUUGUGACAAAGUGUAAAUAACACAUGUAUUGAAUUGAAAUGUCCUUCCAUGCACCAAAACACAUGUAUUAUAUUUUUCUAACAAAAAAGUUAUAUACGGUUGAAUUAGUAUUUUGUCUACACACAUGUUAUUAGUGUAUUAGUUCAAAAGAUUUUGACCAAACAAAAAUAAGUAGCAAAUUAGCCAAAUGCACUUUCUCUGCCAAUGUUCUUAGUAAGGGAGAGAUACAUACUCUCAAUUCAGAGGAAGUAAAGACAUGUCAUAUGCUUUUUAGACGAGACCUCAAAUGACGGCAUGAGAUAUAAUAUAAGGUAGUGGUUGAUGUAUAGAAUUGGUGGAAAAUGAAAGGUAGAAAAAGAAGAUUGACACAUCAGAUUUUUGCUGAAGUGGCACAAAUUCGAUUUUAUGGCAUUCGACCAGAUGAAAUAUCAACUUGUGGUGUUGGAGUUAUGUUAUAAUAAUUAACUAGAUAGACGCUAACCCGCGUAUUGUGCGGGUAUAUUUUUAUUUAUUAAAUUUAAGUGGAUUUAGAAGAAAAAAAUAUAUGAAGUUUUAUGUCCUAAUUAAGUAUUUAGAUCAAUAAUAUAUAUAUACAAUUUUACCAAUAUAAUUAAUAGAAGAGAAGUAUCAAUUUAGACGAAUGACUUGAAUAAAUAAAUUACCGUAUUAAUAUUGAGAUCGUUGGAUAUGUUAAAUAUUGAAAUAAGAUAUUUGAUAAUUGAAAUUAAGAUAUACAAUUGAGUUACAAAAUAUAUUACUUUAUUGUUGAAACUAAAAAUGAUUAAAGUAAAAUACAUGGAAAUACAUUCAUCUUGUAUUUUACUUUAUGGUAAUUGUGAUUUUUUUUUUAUUUUAAAUCGGAUAUAUUAGAAUUUUAAUUUACAAACAUUCAAAUUGUUAUUAACAUUAAUAGAGUAAUCAUAAUGAUUAACAUUUUGGUUUCAAAAUCGAAAUUCAAAAUUUAUAACAAUUACAAAAUAUUAAUCCUCAAACAAUUAUAAAUAUAUAUUAAAUAUAAAUAAUUGCAAAUGAAUUACUUUAAUUUCAUACCAAUUAACACUAUAAAACAAUAAAUUUAAUUUAAAUAAUUUCAGUAAAAUAAAGUUGACCAAAAUCCAACAAACAUAUUUUGUCCAUCAUUUCUAAAUAUUUAUAUGCUAUAUAUAUUUACCAAUAUUCAAAAAUGAAAAUCAAAUAUAAAUAUUUUUUUGUUCUCUCACUCGAUCAUUUUAAUUUGAAAACUAAUUACAAAAUAUUAAUUGUCAAACAAUUAUACAACAAAUAUAAAAAAUUGCAAAUAUAAAACAACAAAUCAAAUUUAAUUAAUUUCAAUAAAAAAAAAACUUACCAAAAUUCAAAGAGUCAUGACUUUGUCCAUCAUUUUUAAAUAUUUAUAUACUAUAUAUUUACCAAUAUUCAAAGUAGAAAAUCAAAUACAAAUAUUUUUUGUUCUCUCAUUCGAUCAUUUUAAUCAUCAAUCUUUUGUGAUAAUUGUGAAANNNNNNNNNNNNNNNNNNNNNNNNNNNNNNNNNNNNAAACUAUUAUUAAUAUUAAAUAGAGUAAUCAUAAUGAUUAAUAUUUUGGUUUCAAAACCAAAAUUCAAAAUUUAUAACAAUUCGGUUACAAAAUAUUAAUUGCCAAACAAUUUUAAGUAUACAUUAAAUACAAAUAAUUGCAAAUAAAUUACUUUAAUUUCAUGUCAAUUAACAUUAUAAAACAACAAAUUAAAUUUAAUUAGUUUCAGUAAAAUAAAACAGACAAAAAUUAAAAGAGACAUGACUUUGUCCAUCAUUUCUAAAUAUUUAUAUAUUAUAUAUAUUUACAAUAUUCAAAAUUCAAACUAUUAUUAAUAUUAAAUAGAGUAAUCAUAAUGAUUAAUAUUUUGGUUUCAAAACCAAAAUUCAAAAUUUAUAACAAUUCGGUUACAAAAUAUUAAUUGCCAAACAAUUUUAAGUACGCAUUAAAUACAAAUAAUUGCAAAUGAAUUACUUUAAUUUCAUGUCAAUUAACACUAUAAAAUAACAAAUUAAAUUUAUUUAAUUUCAAUAAAAUUAAAUUGAUCAAGAUUCAAAAACACAUAAUUUUGUCAAUAAUUUAUAAAUAUUUAUAUAUACUAUAUAUAUUUACCAAUAUUCAAAGUAGAAAAUUAAAUACAAAUAUUGUUUGUUCUCUCACUCGAUCAUUUUACUUAUCGAUCUUUGUGGUAAUUGUGAAUUUUUUUUACUUUAAAUCGGAUAUAUUAGAAUUUUAAUAAUUUACAAACAUUCAAACUAUUAUUAAUAUUAAUUGAGUAAUCAUAAUCAUUAAUAUUUUGAUUUCUAAACCGAAAUCUAAAAUUUAUAACAAUUCAGUUACAAACUAUUAAAUUGUUAAACAAUUACAAGUAUACAUCAAAUACAAAUAAUUGUAAAUGAAUUACUUUAAUUUCAUAUCAAUUAAAACUAUAAAACAACAAAUUAAAUAUAAUUAGUUUCAGUAAAAUAAAACUAACCAAAAUUCAAAGAGAAAUGACUUUGUCCAUCAUUUCUAAAUAUUUAUAUAUUAUAUAUAUUUACCAAUAUUCAAAGUAGAAAAUUAAAUACAAAUAUUGUUUGUUCUCUCACUCGAUCAUUUUACUUAUCGAUCUUUGUGGUAAUUGUGAAUUUUUUUUACUUUAAAUCGGAUAUAUUAGAAUUUUAAUAAUUUACAAACAUUCAAACUAUUAUUAAUAUUAAUUGAGUAAUCACAAUCAUUAAUAUUUUGAAUUCUAAACCGAAAUCUAAAAUUUAUAACAAUUCAGUUACAAACUAUUAAAUUGUUAAACAAUUACAAGUAUACAUCAAAUACAAAUAAUUGUAAAUGAAUUACUUUAAUUUCAUAUCAAUUAAAACUAUAAAACAACAAAUUAAAUAUAAUUAGUUUCAGUAAAGUAAAACUAACCAAAAUUCAAAGAGAAAUGACUUUGUCCAUCAUUUCUAAAUAUUUAUAUAUUACAUAUAUUUACCAAUAUUCAAAGUAAAAAAUCAAAUAUAAAUAUUAUUUUUUUCUCUCACUAUCAUUUUAAUAAUCGAUCUUUGUGGAAAUUUUGAUUUUUUUUAACUUUAAAUUGGAUAUAUUAUGAUUUUAAUUUACAAACAUUAUUUCUUAAAUUAAUAUUUAUUUAGUAAUCAUAAUCAUUAACAUUUUGGUUUCAAAAUCGAAAUCUAAAAUUUAUAAAAAUUCGGUUACAAAAUAUUAAUUGUCAAACAAUUAUAAGUAUACAUCAAAUACAAAUAAUUGCAAAUAAAUUACUUCUUACAUAUAAAUCCAAUUUUUUAAACAUUCAAUAAUGUAUCGAGAUACUUCAGUUCCAAGUUGUCUUUUUUUUUUUUUACGGAAUUUUCUAAUAAAUUUAGAGAUAUAACAUUUUCGUUGAAAAUUUAUUAAUUUUUUGUUGUUGCAAUUUAAGCGAUACUUUAUUUGUAUUUAUAUAUAAUAAAUUACAAUGAAAACAUGUAUUUAUAUGUAAUGAAUUUGGUUGUUGAGGAGCACUCAAGAGUUUUCAGAAGAUUUUAGGUCCAAAAUCAAAUAAAACUAAUAUAACUAUGUUAUAAAAAAAAAUGUUUUCAGUUAUUACGAAUGAUGUUGAAUAAGUUAUGAUUAUUUUGUGUAAGAAGAUUAAAAAUAAAAUAAUAACUUAAAGGAUAACUAAAUGCUAAAAUGAAAUUUAAUAUUAGUAUGUAUUUAUUUGUUGAAACUUCAAAUGUUUUGUUUAAAGUAAAUUUCAAUUUCAAUUAGUUUUAAAUAAUUUUAUCAAAAAAUUAUUUAUUAACUAUUAAAAAAAUAAAAAUUGUAAUAUUUUGUAUUAAAGAGUAAAAUGUCAUUAAUUAAAUUUUAUUAUUAAAAUUAAAAAAAAUCAAGAUUACAUUGUUUUAAAAGUUUAUAUGCUAUCAUGGUUGAGUGAGAUGUAAGAUGAAUUUAAACUCUCUAGUAUUGAAUCGAUUAAACAUGAAAGAGGUUAUUUUUUAAUGUCGCGUCAAUUUUAUAGACAUAAGCUACAAUUUUUUUAAUAAGACAUAAGCUACAAAUUGUUAUAGAGAAUACCAAAUAUUUUAUGAAAAUCUAAUAGAAUGAAAGAGAACCGCAAAUAACUAAAUUAUUUUUGACAUAUAGAGAAUACCAAGAUGUGAUGAAAAUCUUAUAGAAUGAAAGAGAACUGCAAAUAACUGGACAUAUAGAGAAUACCAAGAUGUCAUGAAAAUCUUAUAGAACGAAAAAGAACUGCAAAUAACUGAAUUUUUUCUGCAUAUAAAUUCAAUUUUUCAAACUCAAAGUAUGUACCUUUGAAAUGUAUCGAGAUGCUCCAGUUUCAAUUUUUUGUCUUUUAGAUAGAUAGAUAGAUAGAUAGAUAGAUAGAUAGGUAGAUAGAUAGGUAGAUAGAUAGAUAGAUAGAUAGAUAGAUAGAUAGAUAGAUAGAUAGAUAGAUAGAUAGAUAGAUAGAUAGAUAGAUAGAUAGAUAGAUAGAUAGAUAGAUAGAUAGAUAGAUAGAUAGAUAGAUAGAUAGAUAGAUAGAUAGAUAGAUAGAUAGAUAGAUAGAUAGAUAGAUAGAUAGAUAGAUAGAUAGAUAGAUAGAUAGAUAGAUAGAUAGAUAGAUAGAUAGAUAGAUAGAUAGAUAGAUAGAUAGAUAGAUAGAUAGAUAGAUAGAUAGAUAGAUAGAUAGAUAGAUAGAUAGAUAGAUAGAUAGAUAGAUAGAUAGAUAGAUAGAUAGAUAGAUAGAUAGAUAGAUAGAUAGAUAGAUAGAUAGAUAGAUAGAUAGAUAGAUAGAUAGAUAGAUAGAUAGAUAGAUAGAUAGAUAGAUAGAUAGAUAGAUAGAUAGAUAGAUAGAUAGAUAGAUAGAUAGAUAGAUAGAUAGAUAGAUAGAUAGAUAGAUAGAUAGAUAGAUAGAUAGAUAGAUAGAUAGAUAGAUAGAUAGAUAGAUAGAUAGAUAGAUAGAUAGAUAGAUAGAUAGAUAGAUAGAUAGAUAGAUAGAUAGAUAGAUAGAUAGAUAGAUAGAUAGAUAGAUAGAUAGAUAGAUAGAUAGAUAGAUAGAUAGAUAGAUAGAUAGAUAGAUAGAUAGAUAGAUAGAUAGAUAGAUAGAUAGAUAGAUAGAUAGAUAGAUAGAUAGAUAGAUAGAUAGAUAGAUAGAUAGAUAGAUAGAUAGAUAGAUAGAUAGAUAGAUAGAUAGAUAGAUAGAUAGAUAGAUAGAUAGAUAGAUAGAUAGAUAGAUAGAUAGAUAGAUAGAUAGAUAGAUAGAUAGAUAGAUAGAUAGAUAGAUAGAUAGAUAGAUAGAUAGAUAGAUAGAUAGAUAGAUAGAUAGAUAGAUAGAUAGAUAGAUAGAUAGAUAGAUAGAUAGAUAGAUAGAUAGAUAGAUAGAUAGAUAGAUAGAUAGAUAGAUAGAUAGAUAGAUAGAUAGAUAGAUAGAUAGAUAGAUAGAUAGAUAGAUAGAUAGAUAGAUAGAUAGAUAGAUAGAUAGAUAGAUAGAUAGAUAGAUAGAUAGAUAGAUAGAUAGAUAGAUAGAUAGAUAGAUAGAUAGAUAGAUAGAUAGAUAGAUAGAUAGAUAGAUAGAUAGAUAGAUAGAUAGAUAGAUAGAUAGAUAGAUAGAUAGAUAGAUAGAUAGAUAGAUAGAUAGAUAGAUAGAUAGAUAGAUAGAUAGAUAGAUAGAUAGAUAGAUAGAUAGAUAGAUAGAUAGAUAGAUAGAUAGAUAGAUAGAUAGAUAGAUAGAUAGAUAGAUAGAUAGAUAGAUAGAUAGAUAGAUAGAUAGAUAGAUAGAUAGAUAGAUAGAUAGAUAGAUAGAUAGAUAGAUAGAUAGAUAGAUAGAUAGAUAGAUAGAUAGAUAGAUAGAUAGAUAGAUAGAUAGAUAGAUAGAUAGAUAGAUAGAUAGAUAGAUAGAUAGAUAGAUAGAUAGAUAGAUAGAUAGAUAGAUAGAUAGAUAGAUAGAUAGAUAGAUAGAUAGAUAGAUAGAUAGAUAGAUAGAUAGAUAGAUAGAUAGAUAGAUAGAUAGAUAGAUAGAUAGAUAGUCGAUCUAAACAUGACCAAGUAAUUAUGUCUAACAAGAUGAGUGAAUCUAUUAUCUAUUAUAAUAUAUUAAAAUCGACACUCAACUUUUAUUACGAUACGUCAUCAGAUAUUGUGUCACUUCAUUCAAAAAAUAUGAUGUGGCAUAUCUAACAAGCACUAUUUAACCAUUCUUAUUAUUCUAUACUUUCAAUUUGCUAUAACACAUUUUUUACUUUAACACACAUUUUACUGUUACUAUUUUAGCAUCUAAUAUUUUGUGGAGGUAUUGAUGUGCCAUGAGUUACAAAAUACAAUACAAUAAAUAUUAGUUAUUUGACACUCUCCUUCGUUUUUUUUGGAAACAAUGUAUUAACUCUCAAUUAAUAUAUUGGUUCAUUUUAAAGAUUUCUCAAGAAAUACAUACAUGCCUACAAUUAGUGAAAAUUAUUUUAUAUCGUAUAUUGUUUAUGUUUAUUUGGAAAUAGCAAGAUAUAAUUAGGUCUCUAUGCAACUCUUCUAUGCUCAUUUACAUACUUUUCAAACUUUUUUCCUUUUAGAUUAAUAUAAAGUGUGAGAAUAUUUAUAUUUUUUUAGUUUACAUCUUUGAAUUUAACUCUAUUUAUAUGUUUUGAUAUAUUUGUGGUCAAUUGUUGUUGUUGACAUUUGGUCCAAAUACAUAAGUUUUUUUGUGUGUCUAAAUUGUGCUUAUAUUUUAUUACAUUGUAUAUUAUUUGUCUUCCAAUGUAUUUGUCAAAUAUAUGUUGAAAUUUGAAAUAUGUUUCUAACACAAAAAUGAAAAAGUUACACAAUAUUAUAUGAUGACAAUUACACUAUUUUUCUCACCCCAUCUUUAGACACAUCGAGUCAAAGAAUGUAACACUUAACUCUCUAAGAUUUCCUCAUAUGAAGAAUAGGAAAUACUUUAUGUUUAUGAUAUAUACAUAUCGCACAUUUUUAUAGUUUCUACAAUUAUUUAAUUUCUUCAAAUUGAAUAUUACAUAGUAUCAUCUAUUAAUAAAAAUAGUUAUUUUUUUGUGAGAUCUAUAAAAUAUACAAAUCUAUCUCACGUCACUUAGUAGAUAACCAAAAUUAAUAAUUAAAUCAGAUAGCGGGAUAUAAUUUAGAAUUAGGUCAACAAUACGUUAUUGAAGUAAAAAGUUCUUUAGAUUCAAUUUAUAUUGUUUUGACGUGGAUUUUUUCUAUUUUUUCUUAUUAUACCAUUGUUCAUAUGGACUUUGCGGAAAAUUUGUAUGUUCUCCAAAAUAUUGAAUUUUUUUGUAGGGUUAUAUACUAAAAUAUAUUUUUAAUUUUUUUUAAAUAGUAAAUUAUUAUUUUUUUUUUGUAAAAAAUAGUAAAUUGUUUCGGUACUAGAAAAAAGUUAUCUCAAACACAUAUUUUUAAACAGUGUUUGCAUUAUACGAAACAUGUUUCGAUAGACCAAAAUUGUAAUUUAUAAACAACAUAUGGACACUUCAACUCACUGAUACAUUUUUUCUAAGGACAAAAUCGUAAAAUCUUAUUGUCAAAUUGUAUGCAUAAUAUUAUAGAACAUUUAAGAAAAUUAUAUGUUUACCUACGCAACACGCGGGCCUUAAUCUAGUAAAUAUUAGUUAUUUGACACUCAUUGUUCCUCUAUCAUUUUUUUGCAUUGGCUCUUCCUAUUGUUUUAACCCUCAAUUAAUAUAUUAAAUUGUUUUAAAGGAUUUUCAAGAAAUACAUAGGUUUCUCAAAAAAUACAUGACUUCAAUUAGUUGAAGUUAUUUUAUAUCGUAUAUUGUUUAUGUUUAUUUAGACAUAAGAAGACAAUGACAUAUAUGAUUAGGUCUCUAUGGAACUCAUUCUAUGCUAAUUUACAUGCUUUCAAACUUUUUUCCUUUAAGAUAAACAAAAAGUGUGAGAUUUUUAUAUUUUUUAGUUUACAUCUUGGAGUUUUAAUUCUAUUUAUAUGCUUUGAUAUAUUUGUGGUUAAUUGUUGCUGUUGACAUUUGAUCAAAUACAUCCGUUUUUUUGUCCAAACCGUGCUUAUAUUUUACAUAGUAUAUCAUGUGUCAUCCAAUAUAUUUUUCAAAUUUAUGUUGAAACUUGAAACAGGUUUCUAACACCAAUACACACCUCUUAAAUUUUAGUGAUAAUUUGAAUAAGUUAUACAAUAUUAUAUAAUGACAACUACACUAUCUUUAUCACCUCAUCUUUAGACACAUCGAGUCAAACAAUGUAACACUUAACUCUCUAAGAUUUCCUCAGACGAAGAGUAAUAAAUACUUCAUGUCUAUGAUACAGACUUAUCCCACAUUUUUAGUUUUUACAAUUAUUUAACUUCUUCAAAUUGAAUAUUAUAUAGUAUCAUUACGAAAAAAAAAAUAUUUUUUCAUAAAAAAAUAGUUAUUUUCAGUGAGAUCUAUAAAAUAUAGAAAUCUAUUUCACAUCACUUAUUAGAUAUCAAAAUUAAUAUUUAAAUUAGAUGGAGAGAUAUAAUUUAGAAUUUGGCCAACAAUUUAUUAUCGACUUUUUAACGUUCGUGUUUCUAUUUGUUCUUAUUAUACCAUUGUUGAUAUAGACUUAGAGGAAAAUUUAUAUGUUCUCCAAAAUAUUGAAUUUGUUUUGUAUAGGUAUAUACUAAAAUAUAUUUUUAAAUUUUUUUUAAUAGAUUUUUUUUUACAAAAUAGAAAAUUGUUUCUGUACUAGAAAAAGUUAUCUCAAACAUAUAUUUUUUAAACAUUAUUUGCAUUAUAUCAAACUUGUUUCGAUAUACCACAAUUUUUAAUUUGUAAACAAUAUAUAUACGCUUCAACCCAUCGUUAUAUUUUUUUUAAUGACAAAAUCAUAAAAUUUUAUUCUAGAUUAUUUUCAAAUUAUAUAACGUGUCAACAAUAUAUUGUGAUGCAACUUUGCAGAUCAAUUUUAAUUACAAAUCCAAUAGAAUGUUUUGUGUGGUAUCAUAGCCUUAACUUGAAGAGCAGGUGCAUAUGGUAUGGAUAUAAUAAAGAGAGUAAGGAAGGAAGGAAAUCAAUCAAUCAUAGAAACACCAGAACCAACACAUCAACUCAUUACUCUCACUUCUUCAUUAUCUCUUCCUAAAUAUGAUUCCCACAAAAUAGAAAACCAUGUUGGGUAUUCUUAUGUCCCAGAAGAUAUUCAAAUAACUAAAACUAUACCUCCCCUUUUAAGUCCUUAUAAUAUUUUCAAAAGACAAAGAUCAAUCACCCGAUCUAUCAGAAACUUAAUCUCUACAAAUCACCCUUAUAUGAAAGAAUAUGUCCAGUCAUCUCGACUUGACAAAUGUAAUGUGAGAGCAACAAACUAAGAACAAUAUGUGGAUUUAGAGAUUCCUCAAGGUCUCAUAAACCACUGGAAAUCUGAAGGAUACACAACUUUACAUUUUUGAGCUGUCAGGCUAAUCCUCUCCCUUUAUGGAUGGAAAAAUCAACCUGUCUUUUGUAAAAUAGCUCUUUUAGAUUCAAGCUACCUUCAUUAUGAAAAUGAUGUAAUAGGGUAUGUUCUAACAUCACUCCAUGCUGGAAGUGUUGUCCCCACCAUCUUCCCAAAUUAUAAUGUAAGUCUCAAUGACAACACUAUUUCUACAAGGUUGAAAGUCCAAAUCCAAAUCCAACCCUCUUUCGACAAGGUUGAAAGUCCAAAUUCAUAUAAUUGGAUCUGGUCAAGUCCCAGAAGCUUUGUUUGCAACCCUUCAUCUUCAAAUAAUCUAUCGCCUCCAAAAUCACUCCAUAGAUUUGCCACUCUCUAGAUGUUCUUCUGAUUCACUGUUGGUCGUUACCAAUAGAGAAGAAGAUAUACCCUCCAUUGUCCAGAUCCCAAGGAGAAUCACAAUAGAGGAAUUAACUCAACUAAUUCCCUUGGAAUGGAUAUCAAACUAUGAAAAAUUCCAUCAGGACAGAAGACCAAUACAAUCCCAAGAAGCCACUUUCAGGAGAUCCAUUGAAAGGUCAAUCAAAACAAUUUUCAAAAAAUCAGAUGAAGGAUCAAGUUUGGCCUCUCGAGAACCUAUCUAUACUGACAAGAUAGAUGGCUAUUUUAUUUGGGACGUAGAUCCCAGUAAGUGCGACCCAAGAUGUGACUGUUGGAUGCAUGAUAAUGAUAUUGACAGAGAUAUCAUCCUCCCUAAAAGCAAAGGGACAUGCAUAACAUCUCCUCCACCAAGUAAAAAAUCAUAUCCUGAUAACGGUCCAUGGGUAGGAAUCCAUAAUAAAAAGAAACCUCUUCCUAUCUACUGAGAAGCACUUAAAAUCCUCAAGAAAGAAAAGCUCUUGCCACCUAAUGACCCUACUCUUGUUACUUGGUCACCUUCAUACUAUUGUAAACCUUUAAACUCUCCAAAAAAUACCAAACCAAUCCCUUGUUUUAUUUUCUUAGCUUCAACAUCAAAAUAUGACCAACAAUUCCCUGCUCUAGAUAGAAAACUGGACCCAAUCACAAACAGAUCAUCCAAACCUUUCAUACAAUUCAAUGAAGUCCAACCUGAUGGAAAACUUAAACCUCUAACUCAAGUGGAGGAAUUUCUAAAUUGGCAAACAGAAAACAUGGUUGCUCAAAAUGACACUCUCCAUAAUCUAGACAUAAAGGUGAAUAAGAUUACUAAAAAAGAUAGACAAAACAGAUGAAAAUCUCAAAGUUUUUUCUCAAAAAAUACAAAAAUACUACAGAACCUUAAAAGCUCAAGUCUGUUAGUGGGAUCAUUACUUAAGAAGGAUGUUAGAAGAAAGAAAUUUUGGCCAAGAUUUUGACCGAAAAGAAAGAGAAAUCAGAAAGUUACAAAGCCAAGCGAAAAUGAUUGAUGAUUUCUUGAGAGCUUCCAAAGAAGAAAAACCUAAACUUGUUGAAGAUCUUUUCUUUAACCCUCCUAAUUUUUCUACUUAUUUCACAAGACCAGAAAAGCCAUCUCCUAUGUAUCCUACCUAUGCUUCAUCACCACCAAAUUAUGCCAAAUACAUACCCUCAACUUAUAGACCAAAAUAUGCCAGAACUAUAAAACCCCAACCUCCAGGUCCAAUGAAAAAACCAUUUGCUUAAGUGUAUCAUCCUCAAACACUGAAGAUGUUCCUGAAACACCUCCUCCAAAAUUCCAAAAGGAAGAAAUUACUGAUAAAAUUUUCCUAUGGAAAAGGUAAGGAAAAGGAAAGCUUUGAAGUUCUUUAAAAGGAAGCAAUUUAGAGGAAAAGAGAAAAAUCAAAUAUGUUUUGUUUGUGGAGAAAAGGGACAUUUUUCUAAGAGAUGUCCUAAUAAAACCAAUAAAUCCGCAAAGUUGAUCAACUCUCUUCAACCUCGAGAAGGAGAUCUAGAAUCGUUGUAUUCUAAACAAAGAUCUGUCGAUGAAGAAGGGUGUGUCUGGAAGAAAAGGGGAGUGGUGAGAAAAAGGAAUUAUGCCGUAUUCUUUGAGUUGGGAUGGUGAGAAAGACGAAUCUAUUCCAGGAGGAAAAUUCUUGAUCGUAGAGGCAUGGGUUGGUAGUAGGUUGAUCAUGAGAAUCAAUGGAAAUGUGUGUGUUUUAGUGAUGAUCUGGAUGGGUUUCAUGGGUCUGGAAAGUAAAUCAUAAAUCAAAUUUUGAUUUCCUUUGAUAUGUUUUACAGUAAAAUCAUAUCUUGAAAACCAAUCUUCGAGCCUAAGAGUUUGGGGAUCUGGAGACAUUUUAUUUUUAAAUUUGAGGAUCCUAGGAAAAGAAGAAUUAUCCAUUUGGACUUCAAAUUGAUAACCCCUCGGGUGGAAAUCAAUUUUUUGGAUACCCAAUUUGAAUGCAAGUGCUUCCUUGUAAGUGGUGUGGUAAUGUUUCUCAACUUCUUCGAAUUGGCCACUAGCAUGACCGCAAUAAUGCUUUACUCUAUUAAUUUCUUCUAUCAGGACUGGACCCCAAUAAUGAUCAUUAUCAUCAGUUUGUAGAAUUCUUUUUCCAUUUCCAGGAUUUUUCAGGGCAGGUGGAGGAUUCCCAUGGUGGAGGAUUUUUCCUGAGUAAUUGUGACAAUGGACUUAUGUAUUUUGCAAGCUUUGGUAUGAAAUUCCUGAUAUAAUUGAUUAUACCAAGAAAUUGUUGGAUUUGUUUAACGGUGAGAUUUUCAUUAGGAAAAUUUAACAAUUCUUGAGCAAUAUGAGGUUGAGGUUGAUAUUUUCCUUGAGAGAAAUGCAUUCCUAAAAAAUCGAUUUCUGUUUGGGCUAAUUGACUCUUCUUUUCAGAGAGCAUCAUUCCAUGGUUUUGGGCUAUUUGUAAAAAUUGGCCCAAUAAUUGUUUAUGAGCCUUUUCAUCUUUUGAAAAUAACAACACAUCCUCGAUAUAGAUGAGAAAAAUUUCCCUUGUACCCCCACACUUUGCCUUGUACCCCCAAAAAAAUUCGAAAAUGGCAAAACUACCCUCAAUUUUUUUCACCAUUUUGUAAAUGACUAUUAUACCGGAAAUGUAAAUAUUUUUUUCACCAUUUUGUCAUAACCCCAGCCGUAAAACAGAUUUCCGGUAAGUGGCAGUUUUCCGGUAACUACCGGAAUACUUGAAACAAGAUUUCCGGUACAGAGUAAAGUACCGGAAAAGUUAAAACUGAGUUUUCCGGUACAGAGUAUAGUACCGGAAAUGUUAAAACUGACUUUUCCGGUAUAGAAGGGAAAAUUUGUGUACCGGAAAUCUUGGUUGGCAAGUAUUCCGGUACAGUAGUAGGUUCUGGAAAACUUCAUUUUUGAGUUUUCCGGUACAUACCAUAUUUUUUUAAUUUUUUUUUAAGUUUUUUAAUUUUUUUUAAAUGUUAACAGAUAUGGAUAAUCCACUACUAUUAAUGAACAAAACAUGCGUCUAUACUACAAAUAUUUUUGACACAGAUCAGGUAUGAAUAAAUAUAUUUAAUAUUAAUAUUAUAAAAAUAUAUUUUUGUGAUUAAUUAUAAUUAUUUUAUUUCAGAUAUUUGAUUCAAGGGAUACUGUUGUGAAAUGGGCAAAAGAAAUUGGUAUAAAAAAUAAAGUUACCGUUAUUAUCAGAAGAUCAGAUAUAGAGACGGGUGAGAAAGGAUGGAGAAAUAAAUUAAUAUUAGGUUGUGACAAAGGGGGAAAAUACAAGUGUGCUGCUAGUUCUAUUCGAAGUUCAACAAAAAAAUGUGAUUGUCCUUUCAAGCUUAGAUCAAAACCAUUAAAAGAUGGUUCAGGAUGGAUAGUUAAAGUAAUUUGUGGAAUUCACAACCAUGAAUUACCUGAUACUUUGGAGGGGCAUGCAUAUGUUGGGCGCUUAAAUGAAGAAGAUAGAAAGCAUGUUCAUGAAUUAACAAAAUAUAAUGUUGCACCGAGACACAUAUUACUCUCAUUGCAAGACCGAGAUAAGAGUAAUGUUACUAAGAUCUCACAAAUAUAUAAACAGAGAAGUAUCAUUCGAUUGCGCGUGAGAGGUAAUAGAACAGAGAUGCAACAUUUAUUCAAGUUAAUUGAAGAUGCAAAAUAUGUGUGCUGGAAUAGAAAGCGUGAAGACUCCGAUGUUAUGAGAGAUAUUUUUUGGGCGCAUCCAGAUUCAGUGAAGUUGUUGAAUUUGUUUCCGAUUGUGUUGAUUAUGGACAGUACCUACAAAACCAAUAAAUACAGAAUGCCAUUACUUGAAAUUGUUGGUAUGACAUCAACAGAGAAAACAUUUGUAGUUGGGUUUGCUUAUUUGGAAUGUGAGAGGGAAGAAAACUUUUGUUGGGCAUUAGAGAGACUAAAAGAUUUGUUUGUUACACAAAAUAAAUUCCCUCAAGUAAUUGUGACAGACAGAGAUCUUGCGUUAAUGAAUGCAGUUGGCAUUGUGUUUCCACAUGCUGUUAAUUUACUUUGUCGAUUUCAUAUCGAAAAAAAUGUUGGAGCAAAAUGCAAGCAAUAUGUCUUAAAGGAUAGACAAGAGUCAAUAUUGAAUAUGUGGAAAGACAUUAUGUAUUGUAGUAAUGAAAAAGAGUAUAUGAUGCGCUUGCAUAUGUUUGAACAAUCAUGUGUUGAUACUAAAGUGUUUGUUGAUUAUGUCAAAGAAACUUGGUUGACUCCACAUAAGGAAAGAUUUGUUGAAGCAUGGACAAAUAAAGUGAUGCAUUUGGGGAACACAACGACUAACAGGUAUUUAAUAUAAUUUUAUUAUAUAUUGUUGAAUUGUAUUAUAUUAUAAUUUUAUUAUAUUUUCUAAUGUAUCUGUAAAAAAAAUUUACAGGGUUGAGUCAGCUCACUGGAAACUGAAGUUAAUGUUAGAAAAUAGCAUGGGUGAUUUGUGUAAAUGUUGGGAGGCUAUGAACAACAUGAUAAGGUUACAACAUAAAAGAAUCAGAGCCUCGUUUCAAAAAAGUUUUUAUGAUGAAGAGCAUGAGCACAGAAAUCCAUUUUAUCAGAGAUUGAAUACAUUUGUAUCAACAGAAGCUCAAAGACGUAUUGCUGAAGAAUACGACAAAGUUGAGUGGGUGGGUACUGACAAAUCUAUAUGUGGGUGUUCUCUGAGAAGGACAUACGGAUUACCUUGUGCUUGUGAAUUGGGACAAUAUAAAUUAAUGGGUGAACCAAUUCCUCUAGAUUCUGUGCAUAUUCAAUGGAGAAAAUUAAGCAUGGAAUGUGAACUCACUCAAGACACAGAAGAUGGAUCAGAGUUGGAUAUGUCUACUGAGAUGAAUGCCUUAUGGAAACGCUUUCGAUCACUUGAUGUUAUUGGGAAACGAGUGUUGAAGAGUAAAGUGCGUGAACUUGCUUUUCCAAGUACAAGUUCAAUAUGUCCACCACCUGAAAAAGUCAAAACCAAAGGAAGAGUGAAGAAGAGUAAGGGUAUGAAGCCAGAUGGAUAUGAUGUAUAUCGAGACCCUUCUUACUUUGAGCAUGUUAAUGCAACAUAUGGUGAAGAUAUUGGUUCCCAACCCUCUCAAUCAAAGAAGAGACAAGCCUCUCAAUCAAAGAAACACCCCUCUCAGUCAUCUCAUUCUUCAAAAAAUUUGUUAUUGACACAAUUUCCUGAUAUUACUCAGCCAUACAUUGAUGACAUAUUUGACGUGGCAGCUGAUGGAAAUUGUGGUUUUCGCGCUAUUGCAUUAUUGCUUGGUUUCGGUGAAGAGUAUUGGUCUUUGGUCCGCAAGAGAUUGGAUCAAGAGAUUGUUUCUCAUGUAACUCCAUAUAAUAGAUUGUUCACAGGACGCAUUAAAGAAGUAAGAGAUUCGUUGAUGAUAUCCAGUUUAGGUGUUCAACCCAUGGAUAAAUGGUUGUCCAUACCUGAUAUGAGUUACGUGAUAGCGACAGCAUAUAAUAUUAUUCUUGUCACGUUCGGUCUGACAUUUUCAAUGACUUUCUUUCCUAUGAGGGGUUCACAUUCCGGAUCGACAAAAAAUGAUCGCAUUUGUUGUAUUGGUUUUGUUAAUGGAAAUCACUGGGUUCCGGUAAUUAUUUUCUUAUACUAUUAAUAAAGUAACCGACAUUACAAUAAUUAAUAAAAUAACUAUUCAGAGACGGGUGAGUCUAACAUAACAAUAAUUAAUAAAGUAACCGACAUUACAAUAAUUAAUAAAAUAACUAACAUAAAGUGUUCAUAAAAUAACCGACAUAAUAAUAGUUCAUCAAAAGUGUUCAUAAAAUAACCUACAUAACAACAGUUACAAAAGUGUUACUACUAACUAGUGCGACUACGUGAUAAAUACAAAGCUUUAUAAAAGUGCCUAUACAACUCAUCAUCUGGACUAGCUUGAUGUUCACUCAACCCCUGCUGUAUAAGAUCACCGAUCUGCUGUAGGAUAGGUGGCGGCUGUGAACUAGAAGCAUCUGCACUGGUGGGCGGUACACUAUAACGUGGGACCUGAGGUACACCAUCUGGUCGCACCAGCAGUGGAUGAGACACCUGAUAGAACCACUCCAAAUAUCCAUCUUCACACUCAGAUGGAUAUGUAGCUGGACGAAGCUUGGGAAAUAGCUCUGUCACUGGCGUCACAUAUCCCAACCAUUCCACAUCUACAUCAAAUAAUCUAGCAGGAUCUGGAAGUGGCGGUGAAGGAAUAUACUGGAUAUAUCCGAAUUGUCUCAAACACCUCUCUGGUAGAUAUUUCACUACAGUGCUGCAUAAUCGAAUGUGACCAGUAUAAAGUGUGAUAUCAUCAAAAGGAAUGACACCCAUGUGAUUCUCCCAUGGUCUCCAUAAAACAUCUGCAGGUGUCAAUGCAUCAAUAAUACUUCUGUAUUCGUGGACCUUAUGCUUGUCUUGCUUAUAGCACCAUCUAUUCAUUCGGGCAAAACAUUCCACGUCAGCACCUUGAUCACCUCUAUUACAAAUAUUCGGAAAAUAUUCGUAAAUCCAGCACUGUUACAAAUAAAAAUAUUAAAUAAUUAAUACUAACAAUUAAAUACAACAUAAAUAAAUUAAAUAAAUAAUUAACAAUUAAUACUAAAAUAUAAUUGAUACCUGAAGCAACGUCAUAUAUCCACCUAGCUGUUUGGUGUCAUAAUAGCAGACAUCUGAGAGGUAGUCAUAAAGCACCACUAGUGCAGCAGUACCCCAUGCAUAUCUAUCUAUACCAUCUAAAUAUCUGAAUAAAGGGAGGUACUUCGCAUCAACUAGAGUAUGGCUCUUAUCAGCGAAAAUAGUACUCGCGACUAAAUUCAACAGAUAUGCCCUAGCAGCACAGUCAAACCUCUCUGCUGCACAUUGCCUUCUGAACACCUCCUUCAACCAAUCCAAUCUAUAGUGUGCACCUCUAGUCUUUCUGGUCUCCUCCCAGAUCUCUUUCGUGGUCACUCCUAAUAGAUGGACGGCAAGAUUACAUGCCGUUACUCUAUCUACAUCGGGUGGACUGUAGAACUCACCCCUAAUAGGCAAUCCGAGAAGAUUGGCAACAUCAUCCAAAGUAAUCGUCAUUUCACCAAAUGGCAUGUGAAAUGACGAUGUCUCAGAAUGCCAUCUUUCAACAAAGGCAGAUAUCAAGUUGUUGUCGAUCAUCUUCAAACUACCCCGUUGUAAUGGGUUCAGACCAGACAAAUUCACCCAAUUCUCUAUGGGUCGCGGAAGUACCGGCGGAGUAAAUUGUUGCAUUUUCUUCCCAUGCGCAACAAUUUUCAGCAAUGGUCGCUCCUGUAUACAAAAAAAAAAUAUGACAUUAAAAUUAAAUUUAGACAACAAAUAAUAAUUAAUUUAAAUACGUAAUAAUUAAUUUAAUAUACCUCGCCAAACCAUAGUCUAGCUGAAACAUGAUAACGGUAUCGUGUAAGGACAGACAAAUCAUAAGGUCCUCCAGGAUACCGUGUGAGCUCACCAGGUCCCUCAGGUCCAUCAUGUUCCUCCUCCAUAUGCUCUCCCUCAUGAGCAGGUGCAGCCUCCUCCUGCUCAUGUACAUCCACCUGCUCGUGCACCAUAUGCUCAUGUACCACAUCUUCCUCAUGCACUGUAGAAGGCUCCCCCUGAUCAUUAUGUCCCUCAUCAUCGUCUUCAAUAAUCAUACGUCUUCUUCUCCUUGAAGCUGUCGGUCGAAUCCUCUCUGGGGGAUUCAUCGGAGUCGAUGUAGAAGUCUCAGUGUCUCGUGUAAUUCCUAUGAUUUUGCCGUCUCUUCCUCGUGCACCCACUGAAAAAUUAAAAUAUUAAAAGAAUUAAAUCACAAUAAGUUAUAAAAUUAUAAUUAAUUAAAUUAAAAAAAAAAUAUACGUAACUUCCGGAAAACUUGAUGCUCAAGUUCUCCGGUAACUACCGGAAAUGUUGGCAAUCAAGUUUUCCGGAACGCUUUCUGUACCGGAUAUGUUAAAAAUAAGUUUUCCGGAACACUCUUCUGUACCGGAAAACUUCCUACAAGAUUUCCGGUACCGGAAAACUUUAAAACAACGUUUCCGGAGUACAACCUCUGUACCGGAAAACUUGUUUCUCAACUUCUCCGGAAAUUUUGAAAAAAAACUUACUCUCUGUUCCGGAAAUGUGAAAGUGUGGAAUGGUAAUUUUGUGAGGUUUUAUUAUUUAUAUGAGGGCAAAAUAGUCAUUUCAUUCUAAAUUUGGGGGUAUAGGUAUAAUAAGGAGGGUACAAGGGAAAUUUUUCUAUAGAUGAGGAUACUAUUGAGAAUGGGCUCAAGGAUUCUAGUCAUGGCCUUUUGAAAUAGUGAGGGAGCAACCUUGAGCCCAAAUGGUAAUACUGUCCAUUGGUAUUGGGCAUUAGGAAUGUAGAAGGCCAUUUUGUAACGGUCCUUAGGAUCAACACCCAAUUGACAAAAUCCUAACUUCAUAUCAAACUUGGAAUAUAUCUGAGCAUCUUUGAGGGAGAUGUUUAAUGAAGAGGUUUUCGGAUUGGGAAAUUUAUCAUCUUUCAGAAAAUGAUUAAGAGGUUUAUAAUCAAUUAGUAACCUAUUUUUCCCUCUUAUUUUUUCAGAUCUCUUUUCAACAUAAAAUGCUUGGCAAUCCCAUUCAGAUUUUUUGGGUUCUAUCAUACCUUGUUUGAGUAACUGGUUGCAUUCUUCUCGGGCCAAAGCUUAAUCUGAUGGACUCAUUCCUGAAUGAGUAACUUUGGUUGGAUUGAUAUCCUCAUUGAGCUUGAAAGGAAGUUGGACAAAAAAGUCUUUGUUUGUCCAUAAAUAUUUUGGAUGAGAGAAUUUUUCAUGACUGUCUGCACAAAGUUUGAGCAAUUUGAACUUAAUUUCUUCAUAUUCAGCAAGAACUUCAGAAAGAGAAUACAACUUUAAUAUUCCUGAAUAAGGUUUAAAUUCUCGUUUAAAUUUGAUUCCUGUAGGGAGAAUUUGAAGCCUAUUUGCUGUUGAAUAAACAUCCAUACCUACAACAAUAUCUUUAUUUGGGAGGCUACUACUAAUGACCUUUGUCCAAACUAUGCAUUCGGGGAAAAAUCUGAUUCUAAUUUUUUGCUUUGUCAUCAAAUAUGUUCUGAAAGUUUUUCCAUCUGCUGCUACAAAGUAUGCAACAUGUUACACCCAUGCUUCUGUAGGGAGGAUGCUUGGGUUCAUCAUUGUUAUUUGGGCACCAUUAUCCAUAUAGCUAUAACUUUCUUGGGAUGAGAAAACUUUGAGGCGAGUACAUGAAUUUCAACACAAGGGAUAGGAGGAGAAGAUAAAGUACUUCAUACUUCUUUGAAUGAGUAAAUAGGAAAACAUCUAUCAUCUUCUGAUUUAGCAAACGAUGCUUUGUAUGAAGAAGAGUUAUUCGAGGAAGAGUUUUGAAGAGCAAAAAUUGUUUCUUCAUUGGUAGAGCUUUGUUUAGAAUACAAGAUUCUAGAUCUCCUUCUAGAGGUUGAAGAGAGUUGAUCAACUUUGCAGCUUUGUUGGUUUUAUUAGGACAUCUCUUAGAAAAAUGUCCCUUUUCUCCACAAACAAAACAUAUUUGAUUUUUCUCUUUUCCUCUGAAUUGCUUCCUUUUAAAGAACUUCAAAGCUUUCCUUUUCCUUUCCUUCUUGAAGAUUCUAGAAGGUUUAGUGUAUCUUCACCGAUGAUCUUUCUUUCUUGUUGAACAACUGCAUUUGUUAUCUUUGCACUUGAUUUCCAGGUAAGGCUUUUUGAAUGCCUUGGUGAAUUUGGAUUUUUGUUCUACAAUUUCUAAGAAAUGUUGGUGCAAUCUACAUAGCUUUUCAAGUGCCUCCAAUGUUAUUUGAUGUAUCUGGCCGAGACUCAUGGUUUUAAUAUCUUUAUGAGCUGUUGCUAUCAUCCUAUGGAUUUCUGGUUGGAGUUCUUAGGGCAGUGAAGAGAUAUAUGUAUUUUAAGACUAUGAUCAUUAAAUCCAUUGAGGACAUAAUAUCUCUAGGUCAUUCUUUGAUAGUGUUUUUCAAGAUCUUUGACUCUAAGAGAACAAAAUCUCAUUUCAAAGAAUUUUUGUCUGAUUUUUCAAUCAAAUAUCUCCAUAUCACCAAUGAAUUCGUUGUGAAGAAUUCCAAGGACAACAACAAUAUUUUCUAAUAUGUGUAAUUCAUCUUGUUUGAAUGUACCAAGAUUAUGGUACCAUUCCUUCAACGUGCCUGUCAUUCUCCAUCAAAAUUCUUCAGUGAUCUUAUAAGCGUCUGCACCUGUUUUCAUCAUCUGAGUGUCAAACCAGACACCAAAUUCAACGAGUCUCUUUCUCCAGGGUGGUAUAUCAUCAAGCGUGAACCAAACUCCACUAUUUAUUUUUAUUUUUGCAGAGACUGGGUUUUCUUCAAGUGAUUCUUCAUAAAUGGAUCCUUCCUCUUUUACAUUCACUAUAAAAAGUCUAGAAAUGUUCAUGUAAUUCCUUUAAGAUUCUGAUUCUUGUUCUGGUAGUGAUGAAAAAGAAUCAGAGGUAUCUUUGGAAGAAUCAUUUUUCUCAAAGGAAGAGGAAUCAUCACUUUUUUCUUGAGAAUUGUGCAAGAGAAUCAUUUUCUUGUGGGAAUUCAUGGUUUUCUGUGAUUGUCAUGGCUUAGAAACUUUUAUCAGGAAUUUCUUCCUUUGGGAAUUUUGGAGGAGGUGUUUCAGGAACAUCUUGGGAGUUAGAGGAUGAUACACUUAAGCAAGUCUUUUCCUUGGACCUGGAAUUGAGGUUUUUGUAGUUCUGUUAGAUUUUUGUUUAUAAAUUGAGGAUAUGUAUUUGGCAUAAUCUGGUGGUGAUGAAGCAUAGGUAGGGUACAGAUGAGAUGACUUUUCUGGUCGUGUGAAAUAAGUAGGAAAAUUAAGAGGGUUAAAGAAAAGAUCUUCAACAAGUUUAGGUUUUUCUUCUUUGGAAGCUCUGAAGAAAUAAUCAAUCUCUUUCACUUGGCUUUGUAACUUUUUUAUUUCUCUUUCCUUUCGGUCAAAAUCUUGGCCAAAAGUUUUUUCUUCUAACAUCUUUCUUAAGUCAUGAUCCAACUGAGAGACUUGAGUUUUUAAGGUUUUAUAGUGUUUUUGCAUUUUUUGAGACAAAACUUUGAGAUUUUCAUCUGUUUCGUCUAUAUUUUUAGUAAUCUUAUUCACUUUCUGUCUAGAUUCUGGAGAGUCUCAUUUUGAGCGACCAUGUUUUGUGAUUAGCAAUUUAGAACUUCCUGCACUUGGUUAGAGGUUUAAGUUUUCAAUCAGGUUGGACUUCAUUGGGUUGUAUGAAAGGUUUGGAUGAUCUGUUUGUGAUUGGGUCCACUUUUCUAUCUAGAGCAGAGAAUUGUUGGUUAUAUUCUGAUGUUGAAGCUAAGAACAUAAAACAAGGGAUUAGUUUGGUAUUCUUUGGAGGGUUUAAAGGUUUACAAUAGUGACAAGUAACAAGAGUAGGGUCAUUAGGUGAUAAGAGCUUUUCUUGUUUGAGUUUUUCUAUCUAGAGCAGAGAAUUGUUGGUCAUAUUCUGAUGUUGAAGCUGAGAACAUAAAACAAGGGAUUUCUUUGGUAUUUUUUGGUGGGUUUAAAGGUUUACAAUAGUGACCAAGUAACAAGAGUAGGGUCAAUAGAUGGCAAGAGCUUUUCUUUAUUGAGGAUUUUAAAUGCUUCUUUAUAGAUAGGAAGAGGUUUCUUUUUUUCAUGGAUUCCUACCCAUGGAUCGUUAUGAGAUCUGAUUUUUUAUUUGGUGGAGGAGAUAAUCUGCACGUCCCUUUACUUUUAUAAUAUAUUUUUCAUGUAAUUUUUUUUAUUAAUAGUGUAAAAUUUUAUAUAAUACAUACGAAUUUAAAAAUAGUUAUUUUUUAUAUUAACAACCACUAUAAAUUUUUUUUUUGACAUAAAUUAAAUAAUUAUUUUAUUACAUAAAGUGUUCACAGAAAAGUAAUGGCAUUGCAAUAUAAAGGUACAAUAGUUAAUUUUUGUGCUUUGAUUUGGCAAAAUAAGUAAAAGCCGUUAUUUGAAUUGAAAGAGAAAUAGAAGUAGUAGCUCGAAAUCAGAUGGCAAUGGCAAUGGCAAUGGAGCUGUUGUUGAUCGCUCAAACUGUUGAUUUCAUGGACGCCGAAAUCUGCAAUCUCCCAAAUAAAUUCAAAUCCAACAAGGUAUUCUUCAUUCUUCCAAAAGAUACAGUUGCCGUUGGAUUGGAUUGGAUUCGAUAAUCACCGUUCACAUUAAUAGCGUGUUAUUAAUUGGAACUAACUAGUAACUGUGCGUGUAAUGUGUAGAUCAUACAUAACCUUCUAGUUUAACUCAUAUAUCAACGAAUAAAUUGUGAGUGUUUCUAAUUUUGGAUUUUGUUGAAAAAUAUCUCUUUAGUUUCCAAUGUUAUUAGUUACUUAUUAUUAAUUUUGUUAGAGGAUGGAAUUGAACCAACACAUUCUUUAUUACUCCAAUUCCUAUCUUCCUCCCCAAACCGAGAAUCAUGAUUUCAAAUAGGAAAGGACAAUGCUAUUAUUAUUUUUUAAUUUAUUGUAUCAUUUUGUAAUUUCUUCAUUAUAUAGAUCCCUGUGCUACCAAAUAUUUUAAUUUCCCCACUACAGUUUUGUUCUCUAUAUCUAUCAUUUAAAAUGUGUACACUUGUUAAUAAAAAUGAUUAUUUAUACUAACUUUCACGGCAAAUCAUGUCCAUUGGUUUUCUUUACACUUUGAAAUGAGUGCAUUACGAAUACGAACUUGAGAGUGAGACAAAUUAUUGAACCUAUGAAAUGGUAAAGAAAUUUGCAUUCAACUGCGAGAUUUCGGAUUUGAACUCGGGACAUGAUAUUCAGUCUAACAAUUUCGGUAUUUGCAUGUUGAGUAUAGGCUUUAUGGAUCAAUAAUUGAACCUUUAAAUAUUUCCUAGCUAGCUGUUAAAAUACAACCCUUUAAAUAAUGCUUUGAACCUUUAUACAGUAGCAAGAAACCAAAAAAGAAAAAGGAUAACAGCUGUUAUAGUCUCUACUGCUUUUGUUUUCUGCAGAACUUGAAUUGCAGUGAUCAUUACCUUAUUCUCUUGAUGCUAGAUACUGCAGAUAGAAGAAAGGGGAAGAUUGUUCAUACAACUUGAGCUGGUAUGCACUGGAAGUACUCAAAAUCAGGUAAUAAGACAUUCUCAUAGUUUCCUUUUAUUAAACUUUUUGUGCUUGAGUUCAUUCUUCUGUGCUUUAUUCUCUUUCUUGAGUUUCUCAGUUUCUUCCAUUAACUUCAUUACAAUUGGUAUAAUCUCAGAUGCAUCAUCAUCUGUUUCUUCCACCUAAAUUCAUCACCAAACCUUUACUCAAAAACUCAGAUCUAUCUCUGUCUCGAUCUCGUAUGAUGAGAUUUUGGGGAAGGUACUUCAAUCAACGCUUUUUCUCUGUUUCAAUCCCUAUCCUCAGAUUCACCAUCACCAUUAUCGUCUUCACCUCCACCUCCGUCGUUUUUGGUUGCAUAAAUGGCAGUUGUUGUUUGAGGUGUGAAAAUGGGAGCACUUGAGGAAGUGAAUAGGUUGGAAUGAGAAUGUGGAUGGUGAAAAAUGAUGGUAAGAGUUGGUUGUAGUGAAAGAGUAGAAGAAGAGUAAUCUUUUUUGGGCGGGUAGAGAGAAAUAACAUGUUGGAGAAUGAAGAAGUCAUGGCCAUUGCAGAGUGUGAAGAGACAAAGAAACCUUAUGACAUUUACUGGUUCUGCAUUUUUCAGUUCUUCAAACCCUAAGGUUAUUUAGUUUAUAAAAAUAAAAAGUCGCACAGUCAACAUCAUUGAUACAAAUAAAAAUAUUAUGGGUCUACUUGGGACAAAGAAUUAUCUGUAAAAGAGGGUCAUUCGUAUCUUAUGCCCUUAUUACAAGGGUUUAAAAUUUCAUGUGUUUGAAAUAAAACAAGACCAACCUACUAAUUACUCAAUUUCGAAUUCAAUUUCCGCAUUCAAUUGCUGAUCUUCUAACGGUGGAGUUGUUAUCAAGCUACCACCAGCGUGACUGAUGGUUGAUUCUUCAUAAUUUCACUCAUCUUCUUCUUUCUCACUGUUUUCGUAGAAAUGUUUAGUCUCUGCUGCUUUUGUUUACUGCAGAACUUCAAUUGCAUUGAUCAUUACUUUAUUCUCUCAGCAGAUUGGAGAAAUAGAGAAAAUUGUUCACAAGACUUGAGCAUGUGCUGAAAGUGGUUAUUUGUAAAUCUGUUGGAAAACAAGGUAAAAAACAUAUUCAUGGUUGGUUACCUUUAUUCUGUUUACAUUUUCAGUUUUUCUGUCUGUAAAUUAUUUACAUUCUCAAUCUGCACUGCUCCUGGCUACACGAUCAUUUGUCAUAAGUUGCUUGUUUACAGUUUUCAAAGAUGCAGUGGUAUAUGUGUAAAUAUGUUAGAAAUAUCUUAAACAAAGAGAUUGACUAGAAAGUUUGCUUGAUCUUUCUCCAAUAGAUUUAUGAAUAAACUAAAAAAUUUCUUUGAUGAAAAGUGUCAUCAAGUUCAAAUUUUCAGACUAAGUCUGUCAAUGUAGAAAAUCUUCAUGUACAGAAAGAAUAUGAACAUUGUGUUCAGAGAAUCAGAUUUACUACCAAUCAACCAUUUUCAUUUACAUUACACAAUAAAGUAUAUAUGUGUGCUUGAGAUCAAGCAUAGUAACUAACUAUUUAACUGACCGCAAAACUACCAAAAUAGAAAAAGCCAACAUAAAUAACUACAUCUAUAAUUAAACUACUUUUUUUAUAAUUAAACUACUUAUUUUGGUCAUCGUACCUUUCAUUAUUUAUUUGUUUGUCGCUGAACUUCAAGUCAAAACUAAAUAAUGUCAAAUUGAAGCUUUGUUUAACAUUAAUGGCUAACUUUGCUCUAUUGAAAUUGAUUUAGAUGGUGAGUUGCUUGACUGAUUUGGCGAAGACAUAUGUGGAGAAAUUGAUAAAUGGGGUAAUAGCAGAAUCACGUCAUGUAUUUUGCUUCACAUGCAUUGCUAAGGAAUUCGAAGAAGAAAAAUCUAGGUUGGAAGUAGAAAGAAAAACUUUGGAGCAACGUGCUAAAGUGGCAACAGGAAGAGAUGAAGAUAUUCGAGCCAAUGUUCGUUUCUGGGAAGACGAAGUUGAAAAGCUCAUUCAAGAGGACAUCAAAACAAAACAAACAUGUUUUUUUGGAUUUUGUCCUGAUUGCAUAUGGCGAUAUAAAAGGGGAAAACAGUUGGCAAAUAAGAUGGAGGAGAUUAAACGAUUAACAGAAAAGGGAGAGAAACUUGAAAACAUUGAACUCCCUCGCCGUCUUCCAGAUGUUGAACGUUAUUCAUCCGAAGAUUACAUUCGUUUUGAAGGCAGAGAGUCAAAAUACAAAGAGCUGUUUGAUGCACUAAAAGAUGACAAGAACUAUAUAACCGGAUUGCAAGGGAUGGGGGGAACUGGAAAAACUACAUUGGCCAAAGAAUUGGGUAAAGAACUAAAGAAAUCUGAACAAUUCGCACAUGUCAUUGAUACAACAGUGUCAUUUACUCCUGAUAUAAAAAAGAUUCAAGAUGAUAUUGCUGGACCUUUAGGAUUGAAAUUGGAGAACUGUAACGACUCAGAUCGACCCAAAAAACUCUGGAGCAGAUUAACAAAUGGUGAGAAAAUUCUUAUAAUAAUGGAUGAUGUGUGGGAUCGAGACCCCCCUCUUGAUUUUGAUGUAAUAGGAAUUCCAAAACGAGACAAUCACAAAGGUUGCAAAGUUCUUAUAACCACACGCAGUAAACGAAUAUUAAAUAAAAUGAGUUGUGAUAAGAAAAUUGAAUUGGAGAUUUUAUCUGACGAAGACGCAUGGAUCAUGUUCAAAAGGUAUGUCGGUAUAAACAAUAGUUCUUCAAAAAAUUUGAUCAGUAAGGGACAAAAAAUUACUAAGGAAUGCAAAGGAUUACCAGUUGCAAUUGCAGUCAUUGCCAGCAGUUUAAAGGGCCAACAACUUCGCAAGCAUGAGUGGGAUGCGACCUUGAAAUCCUUGAAGAAGCCUGUGUCCAUGCAUGGUGUUGAUGAAGAUAUGGCUGGAAUUUAUAAAUGUUUGAAGUUUAGCUAUGAUUAUAUGAAGGAUGAAAAAGCCAAGCGAUUGUUCCUCUUAUCUUCUAUAUUCCCAGAAGAUAAAGAAAUUUCUGUUGAAAUUCUAACUAGACUUGGCAUUGGAACGGGCCUUUUUGGGGAAGAUUAUGGCCGCUACGAUGAUACUCGAAACCAAGUAGUUGUUGCCAAAAAUAAACUCAUAGAUUCUUGUUUGUUGUUGGAUGUCGGUGAAAGACAUGUAAAAAUGCAUGAUUUAGUUCGUGAUGCGGCUCAAUGGAUAGCGAACAAAGAGAUUCGGGGUGUAAAUUUAUCUAUCAAAGAUCAAAAGUUAUUGGUUCAAAAAGAAAUAAAUAUUAAAUAUUUAUUAUGUGAAGGGAAGGACAUGGAUUUGUUUUCUUGUAAAUUUGAGUGUUCAAAACUUGAGAUUCUAAUUGUCGAUAUAGAUAGAGAUGAAAGCCAUAAAUGUAUGGAAGUCCCAAAUUCUUUUUUUAAAAAUAUUGUCAAGCUUCGAGUUUUAUACUUUACAGGUAAUGAAGAACAACCUCUAUCAUUACCACAAUCAAUUCAGUCAUUGACGAAUAUUCGAUCUUUGUUGGUUGAUAAAGUGGAUUUAGGUGACAUCUCUGUUUUGGGAAAGCUGGAAAGUCUUGAGACUCUUGAUUUGGUGUCCUGCACAAUCAAUGAAUUGCCAUUCGAAAUUACAAAAUUGGGAAAAUUUAAAUUGUUGAACUUGGAUAAUUGUGAAAUUCGAAGGAAUAAUCCAUUUGAGGUCAUUGAAAAAUGCUCAUCACUUGAAGAGUUAUAUUUCAUAGAGAGUUUUAACGGUUUUUGUCGAGAAAUAGCCAUACCUGAGUUGCAAAGGUAUCGUAUUUGUAACAACUGGGAUAUAAUGAAUUAUUCACAAUCAAGGUAUUUGAGUUUUUGUGCUAGUGAUGAUGCAUCUGUUUUUUCAGAAGCAACGUUCAAGUAUUUCAUGCGAACAACAGAGUUUCUUCGACUAAUAGGAAUUAAGAGGGGAUGGAGAAAUCUCAUGCCUGAGAUUGUUCCUAUAGGUCAAGGUAUGGAUGAUCUUGUUGAGCUUCGCUUGAGUUGUAUUUCACAGUUACAGUGUCUCAUUGACUCUAUUGGUUCUCAAGUACCAAGUCUUUUGUCCAAGUUGGUUGUACUAGAAUUGGAUACGAUGGAAAAUUUGGAAGAACUAUUCAAUGGUUCCUUAUCCUUUGACUCUUUGAAGAAUUUAGAGAUGCUAUCAAUGAAGCAGUGUAAAAAAUUUAAAAGAUUGUUUAAUUGCACGCUAAAUCUCUGCAAUCUGAAGACCUUGAUACUGGAGAAAUGCCCAAUGUUGGUUUCCCUAUUUCCAUUGAUGUCUUGGAAUCUGGUGCAGCUAGAGAAAUUGGAAAUAUCUGAAUGUGAGGAAUUGAAAAACAUAAUAGAUGUAAAAAGAGAGGAGGAAUCAAGAGAAGAAAUAGAUGUUGGUGAUAAUGAUAACAAGAGGCAUGGCUCGAUUUUUCCAAAAUUAAAAGUUCUUGAUAUUGAGGGAUGUCACCGAUUAGAAUCGAUACUUCCCUUCCUCUCUUCUCAAGAUUUUCCAGUACUAGAAGCUAUCUUAAUAAGAAAAUGUGAUGAGCUGAAAUACAUAUUUAGCCAAUACCAACAUGUUGAACUCAAGUCACUAAAAAAAAUGCUGCUCUGUCAAUUACCAAAUUUCAUAGACUUUUUUCCAAAAUGCUAUGAUUCCAUGUCUUCGCCUGUGAAUGAGUCAUAUUCCACUCCCAGAGAUGGUUUCAAGGAACAAAUACAAUUGGACCCUAUCAAAUUGGAAUUUAUAAAUGUUUGAAGUUUAGCUAUGAUUAUAUGAAGGAUGAAAAAGCCAAGCGAUUGUUCCUCUUAUCUUCUAUAUUCCCAGAAGAUAAAGAAAUUUCUGUUGAAAUUCUAACUAGACUUGGCAUUGGAACGGGCCUUUUUGGGGAAGAUUAUGGCCGCUACGAUGAUACUCGAAACCAAGUAGUUGUUGCCAAAAAUAAACUCAUAGAUUCUUGUUUGUUGUUGGAUGUCGGUGAAAGACAUGUAAAAAUGCAUGAUUUAGUUCGUGAUGCGGCUCAAUGGAUAGCGAACAAAGAGAUUCGGGGUGUAAAUUUAUCUAUCAAAGAUCAAAAGUUAUUGGUUCAAAAAGAAAUAAAUAUUAAAUAUUUAUUAUGUGAAGGGAAGGACAUGGAUUUGUUUUCUUGUAAAUUUGAGUGUUCAAAACUUGAGAUUCUAAUUGUCGAUAUAGAUAGAGAUGAAAGCCAUAAAUGUAUGGAAGUCCCAAAUUCUUUUUUUAAAAAUAUUGUCAAGCUUCGAGUUUUAUACUUUACAGGUAAUGAAGAACAACCUCUAUCAUUACCACAAUCAAUUCAGUCAUUGACGAAUAUUCGAUCUUUGUUGGUUGAUAAAGUGGAUUUAGGUGACAUCUCUGUUUUGGGAAAGCUGGAAAGUCUUGAGACUCUUGAUUUGGUGUCCUGCACAAUCAAUGAAUUGCCAUUCGAAAUUACAAAAUUGGGAAAAUUUAAAUUGUUGAACUUGGAUAAUUGUGAAAUUCGAAGGAAUAAUCCAUUUGAGGUCAUUGAAAAAUGCUCAUCACUUGAAGAGUUAUAUUUCAUAGAGAGUUUUAACGGUUUUUGUCGAGAAAUAGCCAUACCUGAGUUGCAAAGGUAUCGUAUUUGUAACAACUGGGAUAUAAUGAAUUAUUCACAAUCAAGGUAUUUGAGUUUUUGUGCUAGUGAUGAUGCAUCUGUUUUUUCAGAAGCAACGUUCAAGUAUUUCAUGCGAACAACAGAGUUUCUUCGACUAAUAGGAAUUAAGAGGGGAUGGAGAAAUCUCAUGCCUGAGAUUGUUCCUAUAGGUCAAGGUAUGGAUGAUCUUGUUGAGCUUCGCUUGAGUUGUAUUUCACAGUUACAGUGUCUCAUUGACUCUAUUGGUUCUCAAGUACCAAGUCUUUUGUCCAAGUUGGUUGUACUAGAAUUGGAUACGAUGGAAAAUUUGGAAGAACUAUUCAAUGGUUCCUUAUCCUUUGACUCUUUGAAGAAUUUAGAGAUGCUAUCAAUGAAGCAGUGUAAAAAAUUUAAAAGAUUGUUUAAUUGCACGCUAAAUCUCUGCAAUCUGAAGACCUUGAUACUGGAGAAAUGCCCAAUGUUGGUUUCCCUAUUUCCAUUGAUGUCUUGGAAUCUGGUGCAGCUAGAGAAAUUGGAAAUAUCUGAAUGUGAGGAAUUGAAAAACAUAAUAGAUGUAAAAAGAGAGGAGGAAUCAAGAGAAGAAAUAGAUGUUGGUGAUAAUGAUAACAAGAGGCAUGGCUCGAUUUUUCCAAAAUUAAAAGUUCUUGAUAUUGAGGGAUGUCACCGAUUAGAAUCGAUACUUCCCUUCCUCUCUUCUCAAGAUUUUCCAGUACUAGAAGCUAUCUUAAUAAGAAAAUGUGAUGAGCUGAAAUACAUAUUUAGCCAAUACCAACAUGUUGAACUCAAGUCACUAAAAAAAAUGCUGCUCUGUCAAUUACCAAAUUUCAUAGACUUUUUUCCAAAAUGCUAUGAUUCCAUGUCUUCGCCUGUGAAUGAGUCAUAUUCCACUCCCAGAGAUGGUUUCAAGGAACAAAUACAAUUGGACCCUAUCAAAUGCAAUAUCUUCUCUUGGACUUAUAUAUGUUGUCAUGGUGAUAAAUUUGGGAGUUCGUCAACAACUAGAAUUCCAUUGGUUUCUGGGGAUCAACCACAGGACUACUCAAUCGCAUCGGUAACCCUCUCACCUUUUUCUGUUAUAUUUUGAUACUUUAUCUUUUUAAUGUGUAUCUUGUAUAUUAUUUGAUAGUUUUUGUGCAUAUUUAACAUCCCAAACUUAAAGAUUGCUAUUAGAAGUUGAAUAAAUAUUAUUUGAAGUGUUUCAAACAUUUGAUGCACUAAAUUUAUUAUAGAUAAUGUAAGCCUAUCUUUAGGACUUAAAAAAGAAACAUUAUAACUUAUAUGUUGGCAUUUACAUAAGUUGUAUGCACA